CGCCACGGCGAUGGCGAGGACGACGGCCGCGCCGAGUGUGAGGGCCUUGGUGCUCAUCAUCUUCUUCCUUUCUGCUGGCUUGUGGAUCUAGUACUGGUUGUGUGUGUGUGUGUGUGUGUGUGUGUGUGUGUGUGUUGUGUGUGUGUGUAAACUGGUGGUGCUCUCCUCUCUUUAUAUAGGCGUUCUGGUUCAGUUCAGUUUAUUAAUGUAGGAGAAGCACCUCUUGCAAAAAAAGAUACUAAUCACCAGCGAACGUUCGCUGCCUAGCUUGGCAUUUGCGAACACGUAUGGUAUUAUUAGGGGUGAUGGCAGUUUUCAGAAAAAAGCAUGGCAGUUCUUUAUUUUUGGUGCAAUUUUCGUCAAUAACUGUCAUCCUUUGGAUUUGGAUCUCAUCCCACUGAACAUCAACCAGUUAACAUGACCGGAAAAAAAUGCAAGUCCAAACCUGCUUCCCUAGCUCUCCAUGUGGCUUUGGUUGUUUGGAUGCCAAGAAUUAGACGUGAGUUUUGAAAACCAGUUUUCAGAGGAUUUUUAGGAAAACCAGUUUUAGUUAGUUUUUCUGUUAGGUAAGUGUAUACAAUUCUUUGUUUGAAUAGAAAACAAAAAGAAAACACGAUUAAUCUCUCUUCUUGGGCCAGUUCCUCGAGGACGGCGUCGCCAUGGACAAAGCGAACCACGUGACAACGGCGUUGUCGAGGACCAGUUCCUGCGGGCUAGUCGGCUACGCAGGGCGUGCAACAGGCGGCUUGCCGCGCGACCCCGCCUCAACCGCAGCCGGAGAGGAACUAGGGUCUAGGGUGCAGAGGCACUACCGCCCGGCGACGGGAUGCACGCCCUGCUAUGUCAGGGCAGAGAGCAGUGCAGUUGGUGUGACGUUGCUGCAUUCGCUGCUCUACUGAGCUCUGUUGUUGCUACAAAUUUCACAAAAAGAAGGAUUGGAAUGGGCCUUCAACUACAUCUCCGUGUUGUUCAAGUGCUUGUUGAAUUACUUCCUUGCUGGUUGAUUAACUUAUACUCAGUACUUAGUUCCCAUGAACCUCCGCCUGGAGUGUAGCGACGGGAGAGAUCAGGUUGUAGCUGUCGCCGGUGUACAGGAGAGGAGUUUGUCGGCCAUGCUCACCCUGCCCUCGGCGGCCGCUCCCAUCUCGCCGUCCCAACACGACGGCGGCCACGUCCGGACCCCUAGCGGCGAGCUCGCCAGUGGUGCGAGCGCUUCAUUGAUGUCCUGGCAUAGCUCGUUUCACCCUCCAGUGGACUUUCAGCGUCGCCAUGGUUGUACCUGGCAGAACGUUGCAGUGUUCGUGGCCGACUCCGUGUUCAGCCAAAACGAGUAUAUAGAAAAACGUCGAUUAGUCGUUUUUCCAUAAAUUCGGUUUUUGGGCUUUUGUAAAACUUAGUUUUGCAUAUCCACGAUUCUGUUAGACAAUCCAAACAAGAUUUUUGGUUGUUACAACUGAAAUCGAGUUUAAAGGAAACUAGUUCUCUAUAAUCUACGUAACCAAACAACCUAAGAUUCGUGUGUUCGUAAUACAACCCCUCAACUUUAGCCAUUCCUUAUGAUGGGUUCUAUCACCAACUAAACAAAACUCAGGGUUUCCAGUUUGGAUAGGACACACAGGAAGCGUCCCGGUCCGAGCUCUCAGCACUUCAUAUUCUCAUUGUUGUCCCUCAGCGCUAGUAGCGAAUUCACCACAAUGGGUGAGGGUAGGCCAACAAUGAAAAUGUUCAUACAAAUUUAAAUUAUUUAUAGUUUUAAAACUCUUUUAUAUGAUAUAAAGGCUAUGGGAAAAAACAGGGUGGUCCGCCACCUUCUAGCUCCGCCACUGCUCGCCCCUCACAGUGGUGGAGCCAUGAAUCUUAGAUCGGUUGAGGUGACAAUGAGGCAAACUAUUGAUAACAAUUAACAAGAGGCAAAAUAUACUGAUACACACAUUUUCCAUAUGAUCUUAGAGGUUAAGUUGAAAAAAAUAAGCACAUAUAUACACAAAUGUGGGAUGAUGGGCGCGGUGUGUGCUUGCCCAUCCUAGCGAAGAGUGUAUUGUAGGGACGAGUUCAAAUGCUCCUGCUGAACAGUAAAAUCGGAAAAAUUAGAAAGAAAUUAAAAAAUCUGAAUUUUUUGUGGAAAUUUUGAAGGAAUGUUUGAAAUUCGUGCAAAGUUUCAUCCAAAAAAUCAUAUUGGUAGAAGUCGUGGUAAAAAUAAUAAUUCAGAGCUCCGAAAUGUGUUUGAAAGUUCAGAGCAUCGGUUAUGUUUUUUUGCCACGCCUUACGCUAGUGUGAUUCCGUGAUGAAAUUUUGCAUGCACCCCAAACAUUCCUUAAAGUUUGUAAAAAUAAAAAAUUUGAAUCUACUGUUCAUCCAUGAGCAUAUAAGCUCACGAGUAGAUAUUCCGCGUCCCAAGUUCUUCCUCGUGUAACACAUAUCUUCCUAAUUCUUGAAUUGUUUCCAUCCUAAAUUUCUCUCUUCAUUCCGAGUUAGGAAUUUUAAAAACCACAUGGACUAAUAUUUUCAUUCGAAAUUGACAGGGAAGAAUUAUUGAAUCGUUUCCCUUUUUAUCGAUUCCUUUUAUUAUUUCAUUCUAAAAAUAUUGCCAUGCGUAUGUUAACCUGAAAAAAAAAGAUUGUUAAUGCAUGCAUGGAUGGAUGCGCACGCACUUGUUUUUUCUGUGAUUCCAAAAAAUUCCGUUCUUGAUAGAUGUGGCAGUACUGUACUGCUGAUAAACGCAUCUGCGUGCGAUAACGUAUACGUGUCCAUCGACCACGUCGGUUGAUCGUUCUCAUCCACAGAGCUGGCGCGCAGUCGCAUGCAUGGCAUGUGAUCGAUCCGAAUUCUGAGCACGUUGUGCUUUGCGUCAAUGUACGUACGAUACGAUCGGGAGAUCUUCUCUUUUGUUUUUCUGAGAGCGCGUACUAUUAUGCCAGAUGUAGUUUUGAGACUUGUGACCGGUUUAUUUUUGCGUGUGCGUGGCAGGCAUGCAUGUAACGCUAGUUAGGAUCUAUUCCUCGUUCGUUUAUGUUGUGUGUUUUUAGGUUGGAUUCUUGGAUCUACGUUACUCUUUAUCAGUGACGGUUGUUGUUUUGGUGAGGUGAUUCUAUGAUGUCUUACACGACGACUCUCUGACUAUUUACUACAACAAAUUUUGUCCAGCUCCAACGAGAACGAUGACAGCCGCACGCCUUCUUCCCGUUUCAGUUCUUAUAAUCAUCUUAGAUGAUCAACGAAUCUGGAUGUAAUUUUUAUUAUUUCUUAUUAUUUAUUGUAUUAUCAUGAUUAGAGAUGAAUAGAUCAGAAGUUUUUUUAAAACUAGUUGGGAGGAGUGAUCACUGGAGCAGUGGCAUCUCGCGUGCAUCGGGUAUCACGGCCACGAUGGUAUUAGAGCGUUGUGCUUGUGGGAGCAUGUUGCUAGCGAAGACGAAAAAAAAAAACACUCGUGGAGUAUGCGGUAAACGGAUGGCCCUUAAAGAAAUGCCGCUUAGGCCUUGUAUAAUGGGGAAUGCUUGUGCAUAAGUGAUUAGAGCAUCUCUAACAGACCUUGCAUAACGUCGAGCCACAAAACGUAUUUGCAGUUUGCGAAAAAACGACAUUGCGAGCCGGCGCGGACGGCUGCAGAGGCAGAUCCCGCAAAACGGACCUAUAUAAAAGGAUAUUCGAGGAAUAUACUCUUUUACGGGUCGGCUUUGUGGGCCUGCUCUUGCGCCGCUGCCGUCGGUCCGCAAGUAUCAAUACCACACCACAAAAUACAACGAUCAUCUACACUACAAAAUAAUUAUUAAAAAAUAUCAAUACCACAGCACAAUACAACAAUCAUCCACGUUACAAAUAAUUAUUUAAAUCGCCGAAGCAAACUAAAUAAUGCAAUAUAAAACUUGUCCCAAAUAUAAAUAACACAUGAAAUAAAUAAAAAUGAAUAGAAAAAUGAGUUUUGUUACUGUCCAGCCCUUUGCCAAUGUUGUUCAAUGAGAUUCUCCUGAAGCUGAAAGUAGGUGUUUGCAUUUCAAUCUCCUUGUAUGUCUGAAAAAAGCUCAAAUUCAGUUAGGGUCUCUAGCUGGUUUGACACGGCUACCCACAUUGUCGUAGAAGAACUCCAAGUUCAUGCCUCUCUCAUUUUCGAGAAUCAUAUUGUGAAGGAUAACACAACAUGUCAUGAUGUUUUUCAAGGUCCGCUUGUCCCAAAAAUGAGCAGGACCACGAACAAUGGCAAACCUAGAUUGCAAAACACCGAAUGCUCUUUCAAUGUAUUUUUGGGCUGCCUCUUGCACCCUUGCAAAUUCACAUUGUUUUCUAGUUUUCGGUUCUUUGAUGCUCUUGACAAAUGUGCACCAAGGAGGGCAUAUACCAUCUGCAAGAUAGUACCCCUUUGUGUAUUCAUGCCCAUUGAUAGUGUAGUUUCAAGCAGGAGCAUCACCACUAGUAAGCCUAGCAAACAAAUGAGACCGUUGCAACACAUUGAUAUCAUUGAGAGUGCCCGGCAUACCAAAAAAGCAAUGCCAAAUUCAUAAAUCCUCGGAUGCUACGGCCUCUGGUACAAUUUGCAUCACGAGACUUCCCGCAAUACAUUCCCUGCCAUGCCUUCGGGCAAUUUUUCCAAUUCCAAUGCAUCCAGUCAAUGCUGCCUAGCAUGCUAGGCCAACCUCUCCUGUCAUUAGAUGCCAUCAAUUUUUUUGUCAUCCUCGUUGGGUGCCCGAAGAUAUUCAGGACCAAAGACACGGAUGAUCACUUUGCCAAACCUACGCACUAACUCAAUGUGGUAUCUUUUGAAGGAAAUAUGCCCUAGAGGCAAUAAUAAAGUUUUUAUUUUAUUUCCUUAUGUCAUGAUAAAUGUUUAUUAUUCAUGCUAGAAUUGCAUUAACUGGAAACUUGAUACAUGUGUGAAUACAUAGACAAAACAAAGUGUCCCUAGUAUGCCUGUACUUGACUAGCUCGUUAAUCAAAGAUGGUUAAGUUUCCUAACCAUAGACAUGUGUUGUCAUUUGAUGAACGGGAUCACAUCAUUAGGAGAAUGAUGUGAUGAACAAGACCCAUCCGUUAGCUUAGCAUGUUGAUCGUUCAGUUUUUAUUGCUAUUGCUUUCUUCAUGACUUAUACAUGUUCCUCUGACUAUGAGAUUAUGCAACUCCCGAAUACCGCAGGAACACCUUGUGUGCUAUCAAACGUCACAAUAUAACUGGGUGACUAUAAAGAUGCUCUACAGGUGUCUCUGAAGGUGUUUGUUUAGUUGGCAUAGAUCGAGAUUAGGAUUUCUCACUUCGUGUAUCGGAGAGGUAUCUCUGGGCCCUCUCGGUAAUGCACAUCACUAUAAGCCUUGCAAGCAUUGUGACUAAUGAGUUAGUUGCGGGAUGAUGCAUUACGGAACGAGUAAAGAGACUUGCCGGUAACGAGAUUGAACUAGGUAUGAUGAUAUCGACGAUCGAAUCUCGGGCAAGUAACAUACCGGUGAGAAAGGGAACAACGUAUGUUGUUAUGCGGUUUGACCGAUAAAGAUCUUCGUAGAAUAUGUAGGAGCCAAUAUGAGCAUCCAGGUUCCGCUAUUGGUUAUUGACCGGAUAUGUGUCUCAGUCAUGUCUACAUAGUUCUCGAACCCGUAGGGUCCGCACGAUUAACGUUCGAUGGCGAUUUGUAUUAUGAGUUAUGUGUUUUUGGUGACCGGAGUUUGUUCGGAGUCCCUGAUGAGAUCACGGACAUGACGAGGAGUCUCGAAAUGGUCGAGAGGUAAAGACUCAUAUAUAGGACGAUGGUAUUUGGACACCGGAAGUGUUCCGGGUGAUACCGGGUCACCGGAAGUGGUUUCGGGCAACCCCCGGCAAAGAUAUGGCUUAAUGGCCAAGUAAGGGAACACUCCAGCCCACAAGGGGCUGGUGCGCCCCCUAUAGGGCCAGCCACGUGGGGAGAAAGGGAAAGGAGAGGAGGAAAAUGAAAGUAUGAAGUAGGACUCCUACAUCCUUCCCCUCCCCCCUCCUUCCUUUCCCCCUUUGUCCAAAUAUGGUAAGGGGGGCCGAAUUGGACUAGGGGCCCAAGUAGGAUUCCUCCUACUUGGGUGCGCCCUAGGCUACCUCCCUCCCUCUACCACCUUUAUAUACAUGGGGAGGGCACCCAUAGAACACACAUCAAUUGUUCCUAGCUGUGUGCGGUGCCCCCUCCACAGUUUGCUCCUCCGGUCAUAUUGUCGUAGUGCUUAGGCGAAGCCCUGCACGGGUCACAUCACCAACACUAUCACCACGCCGUCGUGCUGACGGAACUCUCCCUUGACCCUCUGCUGGAUCAAGAGCUCGAGGGACGUCAUCGAGCUGAAUGUGUGCUGAACAUGAAGGUGCCACACAUUCGGUGCUUGGAUCGGUUGGAUCGUGAAGACAUUCGACUACAUCAACCACGUUACUAAACGCUUCCGCUUUCGGUCUACAACGGUACGUAGACACACUCCCCCCACUCGUUGCUGUACUUAUCCUAGAUAGAUCUUGCGUGAUCGUAGGAAAAAAUUUAAAUACUACGUUCCCCAACAGUGGUAUCAGAGCCAGGUCUAUACAUAGAUGUUAUAUGCACGAGUAGAACACAAAGAGUUGUGGGCGAUUAUAGUCAUACUGCUUACCUGCAACGUCUUACUUUGAUUCGGUGGUAUUGUUGGAUGAAGCGGCCCGGACCGACAUUACAUGGCCGCGUUCAUGAGACUGGUUCUACCGACGUGCUUCGCACACAGGUGCCUAGCGGGUGUCAGUUUCUCCAACUUUAGUUGAAUCGAGUUUGACUACGCCCGGUCCUCGUUGAAGGGUAAAACAGCACACUUGAGACAAAAUCGUUGUGGUUUUGAUGCAUAGGUAAGAACGGUUCUUGUUAGAAGCCCGUAGCAGCCACGUAAAAGUUGCAACAACAAAGUAGAGGGCGUCUAACUUGUUUUUGCAGGGCAUGUUGUGAUGUGAUAUGGUCAAGACGUGAUGAGAUAUAAAUUGUUGUAUGAGAUGAUCAUGUUUUGUAACCGUUAUCGGCAACUGGCAGGAGCCUUAUGGUUGUCGCUUUAUUGUAUGAAAUGCAAUCGCCAUGUAAUUGCUUUACUUUAUCACUAAGCGAUAGCGAUAGUCGUAGAAGCAAUAGUUGGCAAGACGACAAUGAUGCUAUGAUGGAGAUCAAGGUGUCAAGCCGGUGACGAUGGAGAUCAUGACGGUGCUUUGGAGAUGGAGAUCAAAGGCACAAGAUGAUGAUGGCCAUUUCACGUCACAUAUUUUGAUUGCAUAUGAUGUGUAUCCUUCAUGUAUCUUAUUUAGCUUAGUACGGCGGUAGCAUUAUAAAAUGAUCCCUCGUUAAAUUUCAAGGUAUAAGUGUUCUCCCUGAGUAUGCACUGUUGCUACAGUUCGUCGUGCCGAGACACCACGUGAUGAUUGGGUGUGAUAAGCUCUACGUUCACAUACAACGGGUGCAAGCCAGUUUUGCACACGCAGAAUACUCGGGUUUAACUUGACGAGCCUAGCAUAUGCAGAUAUGGCCUCGGAGGACUGGAGACCGAAAGGUCGAGCGUGAAUCAUAUAGAAGAUAUGAUCAACAUAGAGAUGUUCACCAUUGAAAACUACUCCAUCUCAUGUGAUGAUCGGACAUGGUUUAGUUGAUUUGGAUCACGUGAUCAUUUAGAUGACUCGAGGGAUGUCUAUCUAAGUGAGAGUUCUUAAGUAAUAUGAUUAAUUGAACUUUAAUUUAUCACGAGCUUAGUCUUGAUAGUAUUUGCAAACUAUGUUGUAGAUCAAUAGCUUGCGACGUAGCUCCCCAUUUAUUUUUUGAUAUGUUCCUAGAGAAAAGUGAUAACCCACAAGUAUAGGGGAUCAAUUGUAGCCUCUUUCGAUAAGUAAGAGUGUCGAACCCAACGAGGAGCUAAAGGUAGAACAAAUAUUCCCUCAAGUUCUAUCGACCACCGAUACAACUCUACGCACGCUUAACGUUCGCUUUACCGGAAACAAGUAUGAAACUAGAAGUACUUUGUAGGUGUUUUUGGAUAGGUUUGCAAGAUAAUAAAAAGCGAGUAAAUAAAAUCUAGGGGCUGUUUAGAUGAAAACACAACUAAAUUAGUUUUAGUAGAGAGCUUUUUGUUACGAGAAAGUUAUUUGUCCCUAGGCAAUCGAUAACUAGACCGGUAAUCAUUAUUGCAAUUUUAUUUGAGGGAGAAGCAUAAGCUAACAUACUUUCUCUACUUGGAUCAUAUGCACUUAUGAUUGGAACUCUAGCAAGCAUCCGCAACUACUAAAAAUCAUUAAGGUAAAACCCAACCAUAGCUUUAAUGUAUCAAGUCCCCUUUAUCCCAUAUGCAAACAACCUACUUACUCGGGUCUGUGCUUCUGUCACUCACGCCACCCACCAUAAGCAAAUCAUGAACAUAUUGCAAACCCUACAGCGGGAAUCCCUCACGCUUGCGCGACACGGAGAGCACCAUAGGACAUCACCAAUAAUAAAACAUGCAACUCAAACCAAUCUUGAUCAUAAAAUAGCCCAUAGGACAAAACGGAUCUACUCAAACAUCAUAGGAUAGCCAUACAUCAUUGGGAAAUAAUAUAUAGCGUUGAGCACCAUGUUUAAGUAGAGAUUACAGCGGGUAAGAGAGAGGUUACACCGCUGUUGGGGAACGUAGUAAUUUCAAAAAAAUUCCUACGCACACGCAAGAUCAUGGUGAUGCAUAGCAACGAGAGGGGAGAGAGUUGUCCACGUACCCUCGUAGACCGUAAGCGGAAGCGUUAACACAACGCGGUUGAUGUAGUCGUACGUCUUCACGAUCCGACCGAUCAAGUACCGAACGUACGGCACCUCCGAGUUCAGCACACGUUCAGCUCGAUGACGUCCCUCGAACUCCGAUCCAGCCGAGUGUUGAGGGAGAGUUUCGUUAGCACGACGGCGUGGUGACAAUGUUGAUGUUCUACCGACGCAGGGCUUCGCCUAAGCACUGCUAUGAUAUUAUCGAGGUGUAAUAUGGUGGAGGGGGGCAACGCACACGGCUAAGAGAUCAAUGAUCAAUUGUGUGUCUAGAGGUGCCCCCUUGCCCCCGUAUAUAAAGGAGCAAGGGGGGGGGGGUUCGGUCGGCCAAGGGGAGAGGCGCGCCAGGAGGAGUCCUACUCCUACCGGGAGUAGGACUCCCCCCUUUUCCAUGUUGGACUAGGAGAGAGAGGGGGAAGAGGUGGAGGGGAGGAAGGAAAGGGGGGGCCCCCCUCUCCUUGUCCUAUUCGGAUUGGGGGGGAGGGGCGUGCGGCUCUGCCCUGGCCUCCUCUCCUCUCUUCCACCUAGGCCCACUAAGGCCCAUUAAGUUACCGGGGGGUUCCGGUAACCUCCCGGUACUCCGAAAAAAUCCCGAUUUCACCCGGAACACUUCCGAUGUCCAAACAUAGGCUUCCAAUAUAUCAAUCUUUAUGUCUCGACCAUUUCUAGACUCCUCAUCUUGUCCGUGAUCACAUCCGGGACUCCGAACAACCUUCGGUACAUCAAAAUAUAUAAACUCAUAAUAUAACUGUCAUCGUAACGUUAAGCGUGCGGACCCUACGGGUUCGAGAACUAUGUAGACAUGACCGAGACACCUCUCCGGUCAAUAACCAAUAGCGGAACCUGGAUGCUCAUAUUGGUUCCCACAUAUUCUAUGAAGAUCUUUAUCGGUCAGACCGCAUAACAACAUACGUUGUUCCCUUUGUCAUCGGUAUGUUACUUGCCCGAGAUUCGAUCGUCGGUAUCUCGAUACCUAGUUCAAUCUCGUUACCGGUAAGUCUCUUUACUCGUUCCGUAAUACAUCAUCCUGCGACUAACUCAUUAGUCACAAUGCUUGCAAGGCUUAUAGUGAUGUGUAUUACUGAGUGGGCCCAGAGAUACCUCUCCGACAAUCGGAGUGACAAAUCCUAAUCUCGAAAUACGCCAACCCAACAAGUACCUUUGGAGACACCUGUAGAGCACCUUUAUAAUCACCCAGUUACGUUGUGACGUUUGGUAGCACACAAAGUGUUCCUCCGGUAAACGGGAGUUGCAUAAUCUCAUACUCAUAGGAACAUGUAUAAGUCAUGAAGAAAGUAAUAGCAACAUACUAAACGAUCGAGUGCUAAGCUAACGGAAUGGGUCAAGUCAAUCACAUCAUUCUCCUAAUGAUGUGAUCCCGUUAAUCAAAUGACAACUCAUGUCUAUGGCUAGGAAACAUAACCAUCUUUGAUCAACGAGCUAGUCAAGUAGAGGCAUACUAGUGACACUCUGUUUGUCUAUGUAUUCACACAUGUAUUAUGUUUCCGGUUAAUACAAUUCUAGCAUGAAUAAUAAACAUUUAUGAUGAUAUAAGGAAAUAAAUAAUAACUUUAAUAUUGCCUCUAGGGCAUAUUUCCUUCAACCGCUGCAUAGAGGGGGGAAGAGUUGGUGAUGAUGGCGGUGAAGUUGUUGGUGAAGAUUGCGGUGAUGAUGAUGGCCCCGGCGGUGUUCCGGCGCCUCCGGAAGAGAGGGGGAGAGGGCCCCCCUUCUUCUUCUUCUUCCUUGACCUCCUCCCUAGAUGGGAGAAGGGUUUCCCCUCUGGUCCUUGGUCUCCAUGGCAUGGGAGGGGCGAGAGCCCCUCCGAGAUUGGAUCUGUCUCUUUGUCUCUCUCUGCUUCUGCGUUCUGCUCUGCUGCCCUUUCAUCGUUUCGUGUAUAUAUGGUGAUCCGUAACUCCGAUUGGAUUGAAACCUUCGCCCAGAUCUUUUUCCAAAAAUUAGCUUUCUUGCGGCCAAAGUAGAAUAUCAACCGCCUUACGAGGGGCCCACGAGGGUGGGGGCGCGCCCACCUGGAGUGGGCGUGGGCCCCACCCUCGUGGCGACCUUGGGCAACGUCUCGCGUUGAUUUUACUUCCCAAAAAUUACAAAUAUUCCAAAAUAAUUCUCCGUCCAUUUUUAUCCAGUUUGGACUCCGUCUGAUAUGGGGUUUCUGCGAAACAUAAAACAUGCAACAAACAGGAACUGGCACUGGGCACUGAUCAAUAUGUUAGUCCCAAAAAUAGUAUAAAAAGUUGCCAAAAGUAUAUGAAAGUUGAAUAACAUUGGCAUGGAACAAUAAAAAAUUAUAGAUACGACGGAGACGUAUCAGCAUCCCCAAGCUUAAUUCCUGCUCGUCCUCGAGUAGGUAAAUGAUAAAAAAGAUAAUUUUUGAUGUGGAAUGCUACCUAGCAUAAUCUUGAUCAUGUAUCUAAUCAUGGCAUGAAUAUUAAGACACGAGUGAUUCAAAGCAAUAGUCUAUCAUUUGACAUAAAAGCAAUAAUACUUCCAGCCUACUAAUAAAGCAAUCAUGUCUUUUCAAAAUAACAUGGCCAAAGAAAGUUAUCCCUACAAAAUCAUAUAGUCUGGCUAUGCUCCAUCUUCACCACACAAAAUAUUCAAAUCAUGCACAACCCCGAUGACAAGCCAAGCAAUUGUUUCAUACUUUUGAUGUUCUCAAACAUUUUCAACUUUCACGCAAUACAUGAGCGUUAGCCAUGGACAUAGCACUAUAGGUGGAAUAGAAUGGUGGUUGUGGAGAAGACAAAAAGGAGAAGAUAGUCUCACAUCAACUAGGCGUAUCAACGGGCUAUGGAGAUGCCCAUCAAUAGAUAUCAAUGUGAGUGAGUAGGGAUUGCCAUGCAACGGAUGCACUAGAGCUAUAAGUAUAUGAAAGCUCAGACUGAAAACUAAGUGGGUGUGCAUCCAACUUGCUUGCUCAUGAAGACCUCGGGCGUUUGAGGAAGCCCAUCAUCGGAAUAUACAAGCCAAGUUUUAUAAUGAAAAUUCCCACUAGUAUAUGUAACAUCCCAAAAUUCUAAAUUUUGGAAUGUUAUAAUAAAUAGAUAGAUUUGAUUGAUUGUUUGAUUGUUGUGUGAUUGAUUGAGUGAAAUUAUAAACUUUUUGAAAGUUAAAUGAGAGGGAAUAAAAGGACUUUCCCAAACUUUCAUUUUUCAUUUUAUGAUCUCCGUGAAUUCAAAUUCUUUCACCACAAAACCCUUGAGAGAAGAUGACAUGGCUUCUUCCAUUUAUUUAAAUGAAAAGGGUUUCUUAAAAUAUUUGAAUUUCACUUGAAAAUAUUUCAAAUUUAGAAACUUUAAGCAACUCAAUGAUUUUCAUGAGAGAAGAUAAAACGACUUCUUCAAAACAUAUGAAAUAUGAGUUGGGAGUUUCAAAGGAUCAAAUUCAAAGUCCUUUUGGAAUUAUUAUUUUCAAUUUGGAGUUAUUUGGAUUUUAUUCAAAUUAUUUCUCUCCAAAAAUAAAAUACAUGGAAAAUAGGGUAACAUGAUUCCCUACAAUAGAAAAUUGGAGAGAAAUAAAUUUGAAUUCAUUUUGGUAUUUUUAAAAUGAUUUAUAUUGGAUUUUAUUAGAGCAGUAGCACUCUUGGCUUUAUUUAAAUUUGUGUGGAUUUUAUUUGACUCUAGAAAAAUGUUCAGCCUGUAGGAAAUCUUUUGCUGAAAAUUUUGAUAUAUUAUAUGCCUAUAUAAUAUUUUUGUUUAUUUUUAUUUACCUAUUUUUGUUUGUCUGAGAAAAUGUUUUAAAAAAACUUCUUUCCCCGCGGGCCAACUGGGCCGAAGCCUAGCCAGCCGGCCCAGCCCUGCGCCACGCCCCGCUCGUCCCCGAGCUCGGGCGGACUCCCGCACCCGCACGGCGCCGCCGCCGCCGUCCUGUACCAGGACUCCGCCGCCGCCUCUCCAUUGCCCCUCCUCCACGUCUCACGACUCCCCUCCCCGCCUAUUUAAGCCGCAGCCCCGGGCCCCCCCUCUCUCUUUCCUCGCCUCGCCUCGCCUCGCCCGAUCCACCGCCGCCGCCAUCUGUUGCCGCCCUCGCCGCGCUGCUCCUUGCCGCCGCGCUGCCCUCGCGCCUAGCCGCCGCCUCCNNNNNNNNNNNNNNNNNNNNNNNNNNNNNNNNNNNNNNNNNNNNNNNNNNNNNNNNNNNNNNNNNNNNNNNNNNNNNNNNNNNNNNNNNNNNNNNNNNNNNNNNNNNNNNNNNNNNNNNNNNNNNNNNNNNNNNNNNNNNNNNNNNNNNNNNNNNNNNNNNNNNNNNNNNNNNNNNNNNNNNNNNNNNNNNNNNNNNNNNNNNNNNNNNNNNNNNNNNNNNNNNNNNNNNNNNNNNNNNNNNNNNNNNNNNNNNNNNNNNNNNNNNNNNNNNNNNNNNNNNNNNNNNNNNNNNNNNNNNNNNNNNNNNNNNNNNNNNNNNNNNNNNNNNNNNNNNNNNNNNNNNNNNNNNNNNNNNNNNNNNNNNNNNNNNNNNNNNNNNNNNNNNNNNNNNNNNNNNNNNNNNNNNNNNNNNNNNNNNNNNNNNNNNNNNNNNNNNNNNNNNNNNNNNNNNNNNNNNNNNNNNNNNNNNNNNNNNNNNNNNNNNNNNNNNNNNNNNNNNNNNNNNNNNNNNNNNNNNNNNNNNNNNNNNNNNNNNNNNNNNNNNNNNNNNNNNNNNNNNNNNNNNNNNNNNNNNNNNNNNNNNNNNNNNNNNNNNNNNNNNNNNNNNNNCCGCCUCCGCCGACCCGCGUAGCCACCGCCCGCGCCGCUAGCUUCUGCUGCCGUCGUCGCCGAGCGCCGCCGCCGCUGCCGCAUCUCGUCGCCGGAGCCGCCGCCCCGAUCCAAGCUGCCGCCACCGUCGAACCGCCGGUUCAUCCAGACCGGCAAUAAACCGUCCCCGGUUCGCCGGUUCUCUCUUUAGGGUUUCAGUUUUUAAUUUAAACCCGGUUUUUCUUUUAACCUAGUUAAUUAGUAAACGUUCGCUAUGUUAGCUUCUGCAGUGAACGAGUUCGUUCUUUAGUUCUCCUUAGCGAACGUUCGUUCGAUAGGAUUUUUCUUUUUCCUUUUAAUUUCGGCCAGGGACCUAUCUGUGAUGAUUUUAUUUAUAGAUUAGUCCCUGAUUUUCAAACGAUCACUACCUUUUACUCGCUUAUCGAAAUCCAAUGAAACCAACGCCCACUUCUUCUUUAUGAUCCCCUCUAUCCAGUAAUCCAACUCAAACUUAUUUUUGAAAGUUUUAAAAUUUGAAUUCAAACAGAUUUGUAUUUGAACUUCGUUUGAGCGUAACUUGAGUUUUAUAACUCCGAUUUAAUUUAUUCUUUUUGCAAAUUAAAGAUCUUGACCUAAACUUUCUGAUAAGGCCAAAUUGACAUAAUUUUGGUACUGUUAGAAAUUGUUUUAUGUUGCAAGAGUUGUUUGCUUGUUUUCAAAGUUUCCCGAGAUGUUUUCUCCGAUCUUUUGAGUGAUUGCUUAUGUGUGGUUACUAUUGCUUGCUUGCGAUAGAUUGAACGGAGUGUGACGAGUAGAACUAUCAAGAGUUAUGAGUGCGAAACAUCUUCAUCAACAUUGCAGGCAAGUAACACUUUGAUCAUACCCCAUUAUUACCCAGUUUUUAUGCAUUAGUUUCCAUCCUCAAAACAUUGCAUGAGUAGGAUUGGUAACAUGUGGGUAUUGGGAAGUAGUUGAUGAGGUAGGAACCUAUUGCCCUGAAUUCAAACCCUGGGAGUUACUACGUUAUGCUUAUACUGCUAUGCUAUGCUCGUAGACGUGGAUUGGUUGAGUGUAUUCAUGAAAGAUGUGAGAGUUAUCAUUAAUGGUUAACUUAAGGUGGCAACUUUAAUACACAUCUGGGUGGAUUGGUUGGGGCACCCUGGAGUACCCAGUGGUUUGCCCGGGCACCUGGAGAACCCAGUGCUUGCCCAAGGGGAUCCCGGAGGACCCGUGUGAUCACCCUAUGGAAUGCCACCCAGGCGCAAAGGGAUCAUAAGAUUAUUCAUGCUAGAAACUUCUGUGUGCAGCCACUAGCUAUUAUGGGCUCUAGCAUAGUUGAGUAGGUUACAUGACCUCUUGAAGAGGUGGGCUAGCAGAUGUAGGGGAAAGUAGGUGUAACUGUCCACCCGGAGUAAAGAGUUAUUGUUUCUGAAAGACUGUGUCUUGCUCAUCCGUUUCUCAAACACCAUGUAGUGCGAGAAAUCAAACGGAGGAGAUCGAGUCUUGUGGGGAAAAGUGCGCAAACCUCUGCAGAGUGUACAAACUAAUCAUGGUUAGCCGUGUCCCCGGUUAUGGACAAUUUUGAGUCUCUGGUCUUUGGAUAUUCAUAUUGAUCUCAUCACGUUACUUAAAUAAUUUGUUGGGUUAUUGAUGUUAAUUUGGGAUUGAGUUGGAGGAACCUUCUCAAUAUUUUCAACCAACUUUGUAGUUAAAUAAAUAUAUUCCUUUGAAGUAGGGAAAAAUUGGCUUUUCGCAAAAACAUUAUAACCGUAGAGCUUUCCACCAGCCAUAUAUGCAUGUAGUGAUAGCAUUUAUUUUACUCAUUGCUCUACUGUGUUAUCUUGCCAGUACAUUCAAUGUACUGACCCAUUUCGGGCUGCAACGUCUCAUGUUGCAGGAUUCCUACGACGAGUAAGUGAUAUGUUAGGGUUACGAUUUCUACACUCAACUUUGUCGUUGGUGUUGAUGGGAAUCCACAACCUUGUUGUUACUUCCGCGAUUUGGAUUGAGGUAAUAGUAUUUACGUUAUUUUAUACAUGUGAUUUACCUCUGUUAUAAAUCCUCGAGUACUGUGUGAGUCAGCGUACUGAUCCAGGGAUGACACUUAAGCACAGAGACUUGACCGUCUGAGGUCGGGUCGCUACAGUAUAUGAAAGUGAUAACUCAAGAGACUCUCUAUAUGAAGAACAUGGUGCUACUCUGAAGCACAAGUGUGGUAAAAGGAUAGUAACAUUGCCCCUUCUCUCUUUUUCUCUCAUUUUUUUAUUUUCUUAUUUUAUUUUUUUUAAAUUGGUGGGCUUCUUUGGCCUCUUUUUUUAUAUUUGGGCUUCUUUGGCCUCUUUUAUUUUUUUGAUAAAGCCCGGAGUCUCAUCCCGACUUGUGGGGGAAUCAUAGUCUCCAUCAUCCUUUCCUCACUGGGGCAAUGCUCUAAUAAUAAUGAUCAUCACACUUUUAUUUACUUACAACUCAAUAUUACAACUCGAUAUCUAGGACAAAGAUAUGACUCUAUAUGAAUGCCUCUGGCGGUGUACCAGGAUGUCCAAUGAUCUAGCAUAGCAAUGACAUCAAAAAACGGACAAGCCAUGAAAACAUCAUGCUAGCUAUCUUACGAUCAUGCAAAGCAAUAUGACAAUGAAUGCUCAAGUCAUGUAUAUGAUGAUGAUGGAAGUUGCAUGGCAAUAUAUCUCGGAAUGGCUAUGGAAAUGCCAUGAUAGGUAGGUAUGGUGGCUGUUUUGAGGAAGAUAUAAUAAGGCUUAUGUGUGACAGAGCGUAUCAUAUCACGGGGUUUGGAUGCACCGGCGAAGUUUGCACCAACUCUCAAGGCGAGAAAGGGCAAUGCACGGUACCGAAGAGGCUAGCAAUGAUGGAAGGGUGAGAGUGCGUAUAAUCCAUGGACUCAACAUUAGUCAUAAAGAACUCACAUACUUAUUGCAAAAAUCUAUUAGUCAUCGAAACAAAGUACUACGCGCAUGCUCCUAGGGGUAUAGAUUGGUAGGAAAAGACCAUCGCUCGUCCCCGACCGCCACUCAUAAGGAAGACAAUCAAUGAAUAAAUCAUGCUCCGACUUCAUCACAUAACGGUUCACCAUACGUGCAUGCUACGGGAAUCACAAACUUCAACACAAGUAUUUCUACAAUCCACAACUACCCACUAGCAUGACUCUAAUAUCACCAUCUUUAUAUCGCAAAACUAUUGCAAGGAAUCAAACAUAUCAUAUUCAGUGAUCUACAAGUUUUAUGUAGGAUUUUAUGACUAACCAUGUGAAUGACCAGUUCCUGUCAUCUCUCUAAAUAGAUAUAAGUGAAGCAAGAGAGUUUAAUUCUUUCUACAAAAUAUAUGCCCACGCUCUAACAAAUAUAAGUGAAGCAAAAGAGCAUUCUACAAAUGGCGCUUUUCUAUGUGAAGAGAAACAGGCAAUCCAAACUUCAAAUGAUAUAAGUGAAGCACAUGAAGCAUUCUAUAAAGCCAUACUCAAAAGAUAUAAGUGAAGUGCAAAGAGAAUUAUAUAAAUCAACCAAGGACUAUCUCAUACCAGCAUGGUGCAUAAAAGAAAAGUGGAAACUAAAUGCAAAAGACGCUCCAAGACUUGCACAUAUUGCAUGAACGAAACGAAUCCGAAAACAUACCGAUACUUGUUGAAGAAAGAGGGGAUGCCUUCCGGGGCAUCCCCAAGCUUAGACGCUUGAGUUCCUUGAAUAUUUACUUGGGGUGCCUUGGGCAUCCCCAAGCUUGAGCUCUUGCCUCUCUUCCUUCUUCUCACAUCGAAACCUUCUCGAUCAUCGAACACUUCAUCCACACAAAACUUCGACAGAAAACUCGGUAAGAUCCGUUAGUAUAAUAAAGCAAAUCACUACUCUAAGUACUGUUGAAAACCAAUUCAUAUUUUGUUUUUGCAUUAUGUCUACUGUAAUAUAACUUUUUCAUGGCUUAAUCCACUGAUAUAAAUUGAUAGAUUCAUCAAAACAAGCAAACUAUGCAUCAAAAACAGAAUCUGUCUAAAACAGAACAGUCUGUAAUAAUCUGAACAUUCACCAUACUUAUGAUACUUGAAAAUUUCUUCCAAGAUUAGGAAAAAUAAAAAAUUUGUAUAGAAAGACAGUGAAAAAAGCAUCAGAACCAUUUGACGUUCCAGUAAAAAAUUAAAAAUCGUGCACUACAGCCAAAGUUUCUGUCCUGCACCGCACAAACCAACAAGCAUUGUAAACAUCCUAAAGGCAAACCUUAGCACAUUAUUUUUAUAAUACAAUGGAAUUGUAUAAGGGGAUAAUUAUUUUUGGUGAAAAGUUUCUGUAAUCAGGAUUCACAAAGUUUCCGUGAGCAUGAACAAAGUUCAAGGCUAGCUCCCACUUCAACAAUGCUCGUCUUUCUCACUUUCGCUUUUCUUUUUGAAAAGUUUUGGGUUCCCCUCUUUAUUUUUUUGUUUUUAAACUAUAUAAAAGCACUCAACAGAAAUAAAUGACUCUCUAAAACGUCCGGGUUGUCUCCCUAGCAGCGCUUUCUUUAAAGCCAUUAAGCUAGGCAUAUAGUGCUCAAGUAGUGAAUCCACCCGGAUCCCAAGGUAUAUCAAAGCCAAUUUUAAUUAGCAAUGAUUUGUAAUUUAGUAGUGAGCACAAAGCAACAUAUAUCAAGUAAUGACAAAGUCUAACUCUCUUCCUAUGCAUCGGCAUGUCAUAAAAGAACAAUUCAUGCACACACAGUAAAGGCCAAUGCAUAGUAUAAACAGUUUCUUGCAAUUUUAUCAUAUUGGAAACAUAGAGAGGUGGAGAUAUAGUUCCUCUCUCAUAAUAAUUGCAAGUAGGAGCAGAAAGCACAUGCAUAUUAUAUCUUUCAAAAUCAUCAUGUGCAAUGGUAAAACGCAACCCAUCAAUGUAAUCCUUAAUAAGUGCAAACUUCUCCGAUAUAGUGUAGUCGGGAGAAUUCAAAAAGAUAAUAGGACUAUCAUGCGUGGGUGCAAUAGCGAAAAUUUCAUGUUUAACAUAAGGAACUAUAGCAAGUUCAUCUCCAUAAGCAUAAUUCAUAUUGGCAUCUUGGCCACAAGCAUAGGAAGCAUCAUCAAAAAGGGAUAUUUCAAGAGAAUCAACGGGAUCAUAACAGUCAUCAUAGCAAUCAUCCUUCGGUAAGCAUGAAGUGAAAUUAAACAAUGUAUGAGUUGAAGAGUUACUCUCAUUAGAAGGUGGGCAUGGGUGAUCAAUCCGCUCUUCCUCCUUUUGUUCUUCGCUCUCCUCCUCAUUUUUUCAUCCAAUGAGCUCAUAGUUUCAUCAACUUCUUCUUCCAUAGAUUCCUGCAAAAUAUUAGUCUCUUCUUGGACAGCGGAGACUUUCUCAAUAAGUGCAUUAAUAUCGUAAUUAUAUUCAUAAUUCUCAUAACAAUAUUUAAGGAUAGCUAAAUUUUCAGGUCUAUAAACCGAAUCAUCAAAGUCUUCAAACUUUUUAAACAUAGAUUCAAUUUCAUAAGCACCCAUAAAAGCAACAAAUUCUUCUAUUUGUUCCACAUCAUAGUAAUCAUAUAUACCAUUAGCAUAAGAAGCUGAAGUUUUAUUAUCAUUAAAUUUGCAUGAAAAAGGGAAGGUGUGGAGCCUUCAUCCUAGAGCAACAAGUAGAAUCAUAUCUUAAGCAUAGUUGCCUAGCAUACCAAUAUAACAUAUAAAUUUGAUCCCAUAAUAGUUUCCCUUUUUGAGUCAAGCGAUAAUCCUUAAAUUAUUCACGUUGAUCCAACGUUACUCUCAUUAUAAAGUUGAAUGAGGUUUUCUCAGGAUUGUCAAAGUAGUACAUAAUAUCUGUCACAUAACGAGCAUCGAGGGUUUUAGGAGGUUCCCCAUCUCCAUGAGCAGCAAGUACACCUUUUUUUUUGGUAUUUCGUGUUCCAUAUCCAUAACUAAAGAUAAAGAACAACUAAGAACAGCAAAUAAAAAUUACUUAGUGAUAAAGCAAACAAGCACACACGAGAAUAUUCACCCCACGCUAUUGCUCCCCGGCAACAGCGCCAGAAAAAGGUCUUGAUAACCCACAAGUAUAGGGGAUCAAUUGUAGCCUCUUUCGAUAAGUAAGAGUGUCGAACCCAACGAGGAGCUAAAGGUAGAACAGAUAUUCCCUCAAGUUCUAUCGACCACCGAUACAACUCUACGCACGCUUAACGUUCGCUUUACCGGAAACAAGUAUGAAACUAGAAGUACUUUGUAGGUGUUUUUGGAUAGGUUUGCAAGAUAAUAAAGAGCGAGUAAAUAAAAUCUAGGGUCUGUUUAGAUGAAAACACAACUAAAUUAGUUUUAGUAGAGAGCUUUUUGUUACGAGAAAGUUAUUUGUCCCUAGGCAAUCGAUAACUAGACCGGUAAUCAUUAUUGCAAUUUUAUUUGAGGGAGAGGCAUAAGCUAACAUACUUUCUUUACUUGGAUCAUAUGCACUUAUGAUUGGAACUCUAGCAAGCAUCCGCAACUACUAAAGAUCAUUAAGGUAAAACCCAACCAUAGCAUUAAAGUAUCAAGUCCUCUUUAUCCCAUACGCAAACAACCUACUUACUCGGGUCUGUGCUUCUGUCACUCACGCCACCCACCAUAAGCAAAUCAUGAACAUAUUGCAAACCCUACACCGGGAAUCCCUCACGCUUGCGCGACAUGGAGAGCACCAUAGGACAACACCAACAAUAAAACAUGCAACUCAAACCAAUCUUGAUCAUAAAAUAGCCCAUCGGACAAAACGGAUCUACUCAAACAUCAUAGGAUAGCCAUACAUCAUUGGGAAAUAAUAUAUAGCGUUGAGCACCAUGUUUAAGUAGAGAUUACAGUGGGUUAGAGAGAGGUUACACCGCUGCAUAGAGGGGGGAAGAGUUGGUGAUGAUGGCGGUGAAGUUGUUGGUGAAGAUUGCGGUGAUGGUGAUGGCCCCGGUGGUGUUCCGGCGCCUCCGGAAGAGAGGGGGAGAGGUCCCCCCCUCUUCUUCUUCUUCUUCCUUGACCUCCUCCCUAGAUGGGAGAAGGGUUUCCCCUCUGGUCCUUGUCUCCAUGGCAUGGGAGGGGCGAGAGCCCCUCCGAGAUUGGAUCUGUCUCUCUGUCUCUCUCUGCUUCUGCGUUCUGCUCUGCUGCCCUUUCACCGUUUCGUGUAUAUAUGGAGAUCCGUAACUCCGAUUGGAUUGAAACCUUCGCCCAGAUCUUUUUCCAAAAAUUAGCUUUCUUGCGGCCAAAGUAGAGCAUCAACCGCCUUACGAGGGGCCCACGAGGGUGGGGGGCGUGGGCCCCACCCUCGUGGCCACCUCGGGCACCGUCUCGCGUUGAUUUUACUUCCCAAAAAUCACAAAUAUUCCAAAAUAAUUCUCUGUCCGUUUUUAUCCCGUUUGGACUCCGUUUGAUAUGGGGUUUCUGCGAAACAUAAAACAUGCAACAAACAGGAACUGGCACUAGGCACUGGAUCAAUAUGUUAGUCCCAAAAAUAGUAUAAAAAGUUGCCAAAAGUAUAUGAAAGUUGAAUAACAUUGGCAUGGAACAAUCAAAAAUUAUAGAUACGACGGAGGCGUAUCAAAAACUAAGUUGAAAGAUGAUAGUAGCAAUGAUGCAGACUAGGUCAGUGAUCUGAGGAUUAUCCUCAUUGCUGCACAGAAGAAUUAUGUCCUUGAUGCACCGCUAGGUGAUAGACCUAUUGCAAGAGCAGAUGCAGACGUUAUGAACGUUCGACAAGCUUUUAUGAUGACUACUUGAUAGUUUAGUGCGCCAUGCUUUACGGCUUAGAAUCGGGACUUCAUAAACAUUUUUAAUGACACAGAGUGUAUAAGAUGUUCCAAGAGCUAAAAUUGGUAUUUCGGACUCAUGCCCGAGUAGAGAGGUAUGAGACCUCUGACAAGUAUUUUGCCUACAAGAUGGAGGAGAAUAGCUCAACCAGUGAGCAUGUGCUCAGAAUGUCUGAGUACUACAAUCACUUGAAUCAAGUGCGAGAUAAUCUUCCAGAUAAGAUAGUGAUUGACAUAGUUCUCUAGUCACUAUCACCAAGUUACUAGAACUUCGUGAUGAACUAUAAUAUGCAAGGGAUAACGGAAACGAUUCCCAAGCUCUUCGCGAGGCUGAAAUCGGCGAAGGUGGAAAUCAAGAAAAAGCAUCAAGUGUUGAUGGUUGACAAGACCACUAGUCUCAAGUAAAAGGGCAAGGGAAAGAAAGGGAACUUCAAUAAGAAUGGCAAGCAAGUUGCCACUCCCGUGAAGAAGCCCAAAGCUAGACCUAAGCCUGAAACUGAGUGCUUCUACUUCAAAGGGAACGAUAACUGGAAGUGGAACUACCCUAGAUACUUGGCGGAUAAGAAGGAUGGCAAAAUGAACAAAGGUAUAAUUGAUAUACAUGUUAUUGAUGUGUACUUUACUAGUGUAUAUAGCAACCCCUCGGUAUUUGAUACUGGUUCAGUUACUAAGAGUAGUAACUCGAAACAGGAGUUGCAAAAUGAACAGAGACUAGUUAAGGACAAGGUGACGAUGUGUGUUGGAAAUAAUUCCAAGGUUGCUAAGAUCACCAUCGCACACUCCUUUUACCUUCGGGAUUAGUGUUGAACCUAAAAUAAAUGUUAUUUGGUGUUUGCGUUGAGCAUGAAUAUGAUUGGAUCAUGCUUAUUGCAAUACAAUUAUUCAUUUAAGUCAAAUAAUAAUUGUUGUUCUGUUUACAUGAAUAAAACCUUCUAUGGUCAUACACUUAAUAUAAAUGGUUUAUUCAAUCUCGAUCGUAGUGAUACACAUAAUAUUGAUGUCAAAAGAUGCAAAGUUGAUAAUGAUAGUGCAACAUACUUGUGGCACUGCCGUUUAGGUCAUAUUGGUGUAAAGCGCAUGAAGAAACUCCAUGUGGAUGGACUUUUGGAAUCACUUGAUUAUGAAUCAUUUGAUGCUUGCGAACCAUGCCUCAUGGUUAAGAUGACUAAGACUCCGUUCUCCGGAACAAUGGAGCGAGCCACUGACUUAUUGGAAAUAAUACAUACCGAUGUAUGCGGUCCUAUGAGUGUUGAGGCUCACGACAGGUAUCAUUGUUUUCUGACCUUCACAGAUGAUUUGAGCAGAUAUGGGUAUAUCUACUUGAUGAAACACAAGUCUGAAAUAUUUGAAAAGUUCAAAGAAUUUCAGAGUGAAGCAGAGAAUCAUCGUAACAAGAAAAUAAAGUUUCUACGAUCUGAUCGCAGAGGAAAAUAUUUGAGUUACGAGUUUGGCCUUCAAUUAAAACAAUGUGGAAUAGUUUCACAAACUCAUGCCACCUGGAACACCACAGCAUAAUGGUGUGUCCAAACGUCAUAACCGUACUUUAUUGGAUAUAGUGCAAUCUAUGAUGUCUCUUACCGAUUUACCACUAUCGUUUUGGGGUUAUGCAUUAGAGACAGCUACAUUCACGUUAAAUUGGGCACCGUCUAAAUCCGUUGAGACGACACCGUAUGAACUAUGCUUUGGCAAGAAACCUAAGCUGUCGUUUCUUAAAGUUUCGGGUUGCGAUGCUUAUGUGAAAAAUUUCCAACCUGAUAAGCUCGAACAAAAAUCGGAGAAGUGCGUCUUUAUAGGAUACCAAAAAGAAAAUGUUGGGUACACCUUCUAUCAUAUAUCCGAAGGCAAGAUCUUUGUUGCUAAGAAUGGAUCCAUUCUAGAGAAGGAGUUUCUCUCGAAAGAAGUAAGUAGGAGGAAAGUAGAUGUGGCACCCAAGUUUUUAUUUGGAUUUUUUUUUGAAAAGAUUUUAUUUGACUUGAGGGGAGUGAUUUAAAAAUUUUCUUCAAGAGAACUCUCCCUCUCAUAUAUUUUCUUUAUGGCAAAAAUUUUAUUUGGAUUCACCCAAGAUCUGCCUUUGACCUUGGGAGUUCUUGCUCUUCAUUUGGACUCAAGACAAAAUGUUUUUCAUUUGAGAAAAUAACCUUUGAAAUAUUUUUGAGAAUGCACUAUGGCUUUUGGAAAGUCCUUUGCCACUUUCAACUAUUCCUUCUUGCCAUGGCAUAAGUGCAAAUCCUCUCUCCUAACCUUUCCCUCACCUCUGGAUCAUGAUUUGCAUCAAAUCCAGCAAGUUGAACCCCCCCAUGUAUUUAUCUUCCAUUCAAAUUCUAUUCAAAUAUUUUCUGUCUUCUAUUCUACCACUUGGAGAUUUACAAAGGAACCCCAUUGUCUGUUUUGAUUUUUGGCCCCAAACUUCUUUCCCCUUCUAGUCCUUUGAACCCUCAACCUAGAACCAUGAAGAUCCACUGGUCUCCAGUUCAAAAAUUUCAAACUACAUCAACUGCAAGUUUGGACCAGAUUUGCCAAAUUUGGUGAAAUUCAUUCAAAACCUUCUCCAAAAAUUCCAAGUAAAUUCAUGCAGCCUCUGGGUGCGUUGAGUGACCAGCUCACCAAGUUACAGCUCCAGCAAAAUUCAUCUCUUUACCAAAACCUACUGUCGAACACCUGCAGUGCAUGGUCUUUGUCAAAUUCAGUAAGUUCAGAUAUUCAGUCAAGUGGCGGCUGUCGUUUUCUUCAGAAACGGGCAUCGAUCUCGCCAGUGCCAUCGCGUCGCCUUGCUCCUCGUCCUCGCCCACUUGUUCCUGCACCGCACGAGUGCCUGGCAUCUUGCGGGUGUCGGCGACGAGCAGCAGAAGGUGCGCCGCCCCGUGACCGACGCCGGCGGCGGCUUUGCGGGCGCCAGCGGGAGACACGGCGCCGCCGACUCCACCCAGCACCGCCCAAACCACCGGAGACCGCCGCGUGGCCGUCCACUCCCCCGAAUGUGCUGCCGCUCUCGUCGCGAACCGCAGGGCGCGGAGCACGCUCUCUGCCGCCGUUGAGCCCGUGCGGUCACCUCACCAUGGGCAGACGCCAUUACGCCAGGGCCAGCUCCGUUUAGCUGCAAAACGAGUCCCGUAACAUCCACCGAUGCUGCCCGACCGCUCAAACCCUCUGCCAACCCACUGCUCCGCCGUAAUCGCUCGCCGGAGAUUCUCCGUUCACGGCCACCCCGUCGAUCUGCCUAUAAAUAGAGGUCCCGAGCUUCAACUCGAGCACCCACCAGCCCUGCACUUCCUCUAGAGCACGCCUAGCCACUGGAAGAGCCCCGAGGAGGUCUCCUUCCUCGACUCCGGCCGCCGCGACCCGCCACGGGAUCCAGCCCGAUUCACCCCGUGUGUGCUCCUCCGCCUCCAUUCUCUUGCCAGUAGCUUCACCUUGCAUCCCUCGUUCUGACCCGCACUUCAAUUUGAAGCUUGCAGCCCUCCACCGGAGUUCCCCAACUUCACCCGAACCGCCGUCCGCCGGAGAUAGUGUCGCCGUCGACGUGGUGCUCCCCGUUGGACGAGUCCACCACCCACCGACGCGGAAGAAGACACUGAAGCUCUUGGUACCCUCCGUUUCUCCUAACUCACCGUGGUUCGACGCCGGCGUCCAUCGCCGUCUUCGGGCGCCGGCGAGCUUUCAAACCUGCAUGCGGGCCCCGCGUGUCAGCCUCUGUUCUAUUUCCCCGAACCGUUUUCUGUUGACGCCUUCGGGCAAAAUACGUCUUCUCUCUUGCGCUUGCGCAUUUCCAAACGAACCGUUUUCUGUUUUCUCAGUUAAAACCCUGGAACUUUUCUGUUUCAUUACAAAAAGGUCCCUGGACAGAAACCUUUAUAACUUUUUAAUAAAAAAGGUAUUUUUGAGUGAUUCUUUUUCUGACAUUCUUAAAAUUUUGUCUAGUUUUUUAUGGGAUUUAUUUGGAAAAUAUUUGGCAAAGUUUCUAAGUGUGUGUUGGUUUUCACGUUAGUACCCGUUUCGUGAUUGCCGUAGGUUCCGGGAGAGGUGACGGAGCCGCGAACUUCGCCGAGCUAGAUUCCGACUUCUCCGAACCAGGCAAGCAUGUUUGAACAUUUGAUAUGGCAGAAGUUUUGCAUGUUCAUGUGAAAGUUUGUGUGUGGCAUAUGAGUGUCGGUAAAUAUCUCGUUGCUCGUAAGGCAACGACCCGGUUGUUCCGAAGUUGCGAUGACCUCUGAUGAGAGGUGGCCUGAUCAUGUAGUGACAUGAAGGGCAGCAAGGUGGUACUGUUGUAGCAUGCCAGCCUUGCGUCAUCCGACUUUCUUCGAUGUUAACGUGGUUGGAGCCACGUUAUCGAUCUUUUCCCGCAUGUUCCAAAGUUGCGAUGACCUCUGAUGAGAGGUGGCCUAAUCAUGUGGUGACAUGAAGGGCAGCAAGGUGGUACUGUUGUAGCAUGCCUGCCUUGUGUCAUCCGACUUUUCCGACGCUAACAUGGUUGGAGCCGUGUUAUCGUCCCUUCCCCUUUCCGUGCUACCACAUGUCUCAUUGCCAGGAUACGGUUUAGUAAGUUGGUAACCUCUUUCCGUGUACACACCAAACAGAGAGGCCGGGAUGAUGGUACCUUGGCCCAGGAUUAAAGCCAGUCAUUCGGUCAGGGGGCAUGGGUGUUUCCGGUUGGGACCGAGAGGGGGGGCACCCCCUUAUAGCGCGCGUAUAGAAAUUUGAUCCCAUGCUACGCGAGGUUGUAGCCUCCCCGACUCAAGGUUUUUCUUGAAUGUUGCCGAGGGUGAUCCCUGGCUUCGGAUGGUUGAAUUGGGUGUGUACUGGUUAGACGUGUUCCUUCCAGAACACCGUAGACGGAACUAGUCCCCGUGACUACUGAAAUCCGUUGGCUGUGGUUAAGUACAAACUCUGCAGAGUCAAUUCUUUCCAAAUCAUCGUAUCCAUGAUCAAUAGUGUAAACAUUAUAUCCAUAUCUAUCCAUGUGAAAAACUUGUCCCCGGUGAACAAGCUCAAGUGGUAAAAUCUCAGGUUUUAUUGCUAUUCCAGUGGAUGGACAAGCUUUAUUUUGUGUCUCAUGCUUGUGAUAAUUUAUGUCUCCGAGCUGUUGUAAUAAUGAAAUGUGAUAUAAGCCCUUUAGGUGACGUCGCGCAGACGUCCGACUGUGGCGUGUACUCGUUUCUCACUUUCGAUAUAAGCCCUUUAUGUGAUGUCGCUCAGACGUCCGACUGCGGCAUGCACUGUCUUUACUUUCUGUUAUAAGCCCUUUAUGUGGUGUCGCCCCGACGCCCGACUGUGGCAUUAUUAUUCCGCAUUUUCCGCUCGAGGAGUCUUUCAGACACUCGUUUGGCACCUGUAUUAUUAUUCCGUAUUUUCCGCUCGAGGAGUCUUUCAGACACUCGUUUGGCACCUGCAUUAUUAUUCCGCAUUUUCCGCUCGAGGAGUCUUUCAGACACUCGUUUGGCACCUGUAUUAUUAUUCCGCAUUUUCCGCUCGAGGAGUCUUUCAGACACUCGUUUGGCACCCGUAUUACUAUUCGGCAGUUUCCGCUCGAGGCGUCAUUCAGACCCUCGCUUGGCACCCAGUAUUUAUUAUCUCUAUGUCUGAUCGCACUGGUUAACUUAUUCAUGUGUUUCAUGUUUGCAUUUGUUAUACCUUAUGUCCGAACUGUCUUGCGAGUACUUUCAUAGUACUCACCUGGCUUGUUGAUUUGGCCAGAUGUUGACGAAGGCGAUCUCUUGGAUGAAGAGUUUGAUAGCGCGUCCGACGCCUAGAGGAGUCCAAGUCAGUCCUGCGCGAUCCCGGAUAUUGGUCACUUGUAUCGUUUGCGCUUCCGCCACCCGCAAUAAGUCUUCUCGAGCCUCGCUCCGACGCUCGAAGAGUUGUAGUAGUCUGGAAUUAUAUCACUCGCUUCGCGAUGAUAUUUCCACCACCGUUAUUAUCGUGAGUUAGUAGUUUGCCACCCUAUCCGCCGUAUUGUUUUAUCGGCGUGCAUGUAAUAAAUUGUUGGGCAGUCUCUGCUCAACUUUGUAUUAUAUUUAGUACUCCUGGUAUUUUUUCGUCUGUGACCAAUGUAUUGUCUAUCAGUGAGAAGGAAUUCUUCCUCGCUGGUCCGUAACAGGGAUUGGUUUCUGAAUAAUUAUUUUAUUGAAAAACCGGUCGUGACAAGCUUGGUAUCAGAGCCAGGCUGACUGUAGGAAGCCACUAGGUGCGACCGCUAAUCGGUUAUUAGCGUCUGUUGUGCUUCUUCAGCAUUUUGCAAUUGUAGCUAUUUUCUGUUGGUCAUCAUAAAAUUUAUGACAUGACUACUCAGAAUUUUUGCCUACUUUUGUAGAUGGCUGGCAGCAGCUGUGAGAAUCAAGUGUUCACCAACGUGCCCGAGGGGUUUGUCAAGCUCCUCGUCUCCAUCACCAAGCUCGCGAUCAGGCCAGCAGCUCGCCCGGAGUUCACCCUCUAUCAGCACAAGCUCAGUGACGACGUGUCUAUGCACCAGGCUGUGGUGCAGUUCAAGGGAGGACGUUCAGCUGCACGCCACUUCCGUUUUGUGGGAAGGGCCAUGCCUACGGAGAGGCAUGCCAUGCAGAUGGCUGCCCGGGAGGCGAUAGCUCGCCUUCGGGACAUCCUUCCUACGAUGAAGACUCGUCGCUACCGCUACCUCCCAUGCCAUGUGCCUUACACCAGCCACUAUGCGUCCGCCUGCCAUCGGGGAGAGCGAGAUGAAGCCAUCGAGAUGGUUGUGGAGUAUCUCAAGGCUCUGGAGGAGUCUUUCGACAACCUCGUAGAUGAUCUUGUGGCUGCCCGCAUGGACUUAGUCUGGGGCGGUCCUGCCAGCAGGAAGGAGCUUCUCCACACGGCGCCGCCUCUGACAUUCGUCUCGUCUUCAGCCUCGUAUGCACCGGCCGUUUUGGCCACUGCUCGCCGUCUGCCUACCACUGAGGAGUUCGACUGAGUCAUCGCUCCUACUCCAGUCAGAGCCACACCGCCUGCCGCACGCGCUCUACCGCCAGUCGCCCCCGCACCAUCACCGCAGCGCAGCGUCCACGCCAGGAGCCAGCUAGAGAGGAGGAGGUUGAUUCUCCUGGACCGCUGAGCCUUGCCCUCAGCAAGGGGAAGGAGAUCUUCACCAUCUCCGACUGAGAGCACCGAGUAGCCGCGUGUUAUGCCUGCUUGUUUGAUGUGUUGUUUUUAUCUGUACGCUAGUUUGUGUUGGUGUGUUUGCUGCCUUCCGGAGUAGUACGCUAGUUUUUAAUAACAUGUCAGGAUUGUGUACGCACAACCUGAGUGCUGUAUCUUGUGUUUGCUUUCGCAUGUAAGAUUUGUGUUAAGCACUUCUUCUCCGUGAAAAUCAUUUGUGUUUCUUGAAAACCUUGAAGCCUUUUUGAUUAUUGCCUUUGCAAGGGUUUUCCUGCGCUACACAACUUUUCUCAUGGGUUUUGCAAAUGAUACCCCAGACUGGAAAAAUGUCUCGCCCUUGGACUCGCUCUAUGCCCAAUCAGCCAGAAGAGGUUUACGGAACACAGACCAGCAACAAUUUCACUCAGGGUCAGUCCAACCAACAGGACAGCGAAGCGGCACUAUCUCAAGUAUGCCGUCUCUUCGAGCAAAGCCAGCAACAGCACGAGGAGAUGAUGAACCAUGUCAUCAAUAUGGGAAACCACCGUGAACCCUAUCAACCACAUUCCAAGUUAUCUGAGCUACAGAAGACUUGCCCCUCAACUUUUGCUCACACCGACAGGCCACUGGAAGCCGAUGAUUGGCUUCGCGAGAUUGAAAGGAAACUGAUUAUCGCUCAAUGCUCAGAUCAUGAGAAGGUGCUUUAUGCACCACACUACCUUACUGGAGCAGCCGCAGCAUGGUGGGAAAACUUCCUACACAUGCACCCCAGGGAACACAACAUCACCUGGGAAGAAUUCAAGGAAGGCUUCCGUGGGGCACACAUUCCCAGGAGCAUCCUAAAGAUCAAGAAGAGAGAGUUUGAUGACCUGAAGCAAAGAGGCAUGACCGUCACAGAAUACAACGGCCAGUUUACCCAACUGUCUCGUUAUGCCUACGACGAGCAAAUGACAGAAAACAAGAAGAUGGAAAAAUUCCUGGACGGCCUGGCACCAGCAUUAAGAUGCCAACUGAUUGUACACACCUUUCCGGAUUUUAAGACGCUGGUGGACAAGGCCAUCACCCUGGAGAAUGAGCGCCGUAGUCUGGAAGAUAUCCGCAAGCGGAAGAGGGACAAGACGACUCUUGCCCGCAGCAACCGAGGCAAGACUGAGGUCCCAAGGACAGACACGAGGAGAUCCACGACUACUGAGCCAAGACCCGUCGGACAAUUUCAUGCCAGAGACAAGGAGUUCACAUACCGUCCAGGAGUCACCUGCUAUGCUUGUGGUCAACAAGGGCAUUAUGCUAAACAGUGCCCGAAGCCAAGAGACUCGGCACCCAAGCCGAACAAUGGUGGAAACAAUCCAGCCCCCAAGCGCAACAACUUCAAUCCCAGCAACAACCACAGGAAGGGUCACUUGAACCACGUGACCAGGGAAGAAGCGCAGAAUGCCCCAGACAUCGUGCUCGGUACGUUCCCUGUCAACACAGUACCUGCCACGGUUUUGUUUGAUUCUGGAGCUUCCCAUUCGUUCGUUUCGAAGAGUUUUGUUUCGCAACAUGGUUUUCCGAUACUCCCCUUGGAAAAAUCUAUGAUCAUCAAGUCCCCCGGAAAUAAGCAAAUUGCUCAGGGUUACUGCCAAGGAGUGGUCAUUGAGUUCGAAGGACUACCAUUCCACGCAAAUCUCAUCGUGUUGGAAAGUAAAGGACUGGAUGUCAUUUUAGGAAUGGACUGGUUAACCACCAACAAAGGAUUCAUCGACUGUUUCAAUCGGACAGUAAUUCUCACUCACCAUCACGGCAAGACUAUAAGAGUUUCCGCCCAAGAAAGGCCACGAUCACAGAAGCCAAAACUAAACAAAAUGGACAUCGCAGAAUCAAGAAAAGUGCCAGUGGUAUGCGAGUUCCCUGAUGUGUUCCCGGAAGAACUACCAGGCAUGCCACCAGACCGAGAGAUCGAAUUCAGCAUCGAACUAGCACCUGGCACCGCUCCCAUUUAUAAGAAGCCGUAUAGAAUGGCACCCUCCGAAUUGGUGGAGUUGAAGAAGCAGAUAAAGGAAUUAUUGGACAAAGGAUUUAUUCGAGCCAGCUCCUCACCUUGGGGUUCGCCUGUGUUGUUCGCCAAAAAAAAGGAUGGGACUUUAAGGCUGUGCAUAGACUAUCGAGCCCUCAAUAUGGUCACCAUCAAAAACAAAUAUCCGAUGCCACGAAUAAAUGAUUUGUUUGACCAGCUCGCACAGGCCAAGGUAUUCUCGAAAAUUGAUUUGCGAUCGGGAUAUCACCAAUUGAAGGUACGGACGGAAGAUAUUCCCAAGACAGCUUUCACUUCCAGAUAUGGGUUAUACGAGUUUACGGUGAUGCCGUUUGGACUAACAAACGCCCCCGCAUAUUUCGUCCACCUCAUGAACAAAGUAUUCAUGAAAUUCAUGGACAAAUUUGUGGUGGUAUUCAUUGACGACAUUCUGGUUUACUCAAGGACACCAGAAGAACAUGCUGAGCACCUCAGAAUUGUUUUGGGAGAAUUGAGGAAACAUCAGUUGUACGCCAAAUUUAGCAAAUGCGAAUUUUGGCUAAGAAAAGUUGGUUUCUUGGGCCAUAUAUUGAACCAAAAGGGCGUGGCCGUAGACCCAGAAAAGGUCAAGGCCAUACUGGACUGGAAGCCACCCGCGAAUGUUACAGAUGUGCGGAGUUUCCUAGGAAUGGCCGGAUAUUACAGGAGAUUUAUUGAAGGAUUCUCCACUGUGGCAAAACCUAUAACACAGUUACUCAAGAAGGACAAGAAAUUCGUAUGGACGGAAGCAUGUGAGCAGAGCUUCCAAGAACUCAAGAAGAAGCUAACAACCGCACCAGUCUUAACCGUACCAGACAUACACAAGAGCUUUGAGGUGUAUUGUGACGCGUCCCGAAAAGGUCUCGGAUGUGUGCUAAUGCAGGAUGGCAAAGUUGUCGCAUAUGCCUCCAGACAGCUGCGAAAACAUGAGGAAAAUUACCCAACACAUGACCUGGAACUAGCAGCAGUUAUACAUGCACUCAAGGAGUGGAGGCACUUUCUGUUGGGAAAUCGCUGUGAAAUAUAUACAGACCAUAAGAGCCUCAAAUAUAUUUUCACACAGCCAGAGCUGAAUUUACGCCAACGACGCUGGUUGGAACUGGUCAAGGACUAUGACGUCGGUAUUCACUACCACCCAGGGAAGGCAAAUGUAGUGGCCGAUGCCCUUAGUCGAAACCCCAGCCCGGACAGUGACGGUCAGCAAAGUUUGAGGCCUGAGUUUCAGCGAGAGUUCACUCGGCUCAACAUGAUGUUAGUCUCUGAGGGCACCAUAUCGAACCUGGAGAUACAACCCACCCUAGUGGAACAAAUCAAGAAGGCCCAACAGGGACACCCCAGUAUCGAAGGCAUAAAGAAGAAAAUGAACCGUAGUAAGACUUCAGAAUUCGUCACGGACAGUGAAGGAACAUUAUGGUACCGGGACAGGCUUUGCGUACCCAACAUUGAGGAACUCAAGCAACAGAUCUUGACGGAAAGCCACACCGCCCCAUACUCGAUCCAUCCUGGAGGAACCAAAAUGUACAAGGACAUCCAGGAAAGAUUUUGGUGGCACGGUAUGAAAAGAGAUAUAGCCACAUUCAUUGCUUGUUGCGAUUCAUGUCAGCGCAUCAAGGCCGAGCACCAAAAGCCAGUAGGGCUACUCCAGCCUAACAGGAUACCGGAGUGGAAAUGGGAUGAAAUCGGAAUGGACUUCAUUGUCGGAUUACCCCGAUCGCAACGCGGAAAUGACGCCAUAUGGGUCAUCACAGACCGACUAACCAAGGUUGCACACUUCAUUCCCGUGAAGACUACCAACUCCACACAAAGACUGGCAAAACUCUAUCUCUCCCGUAUAGUUUGCUUGCACGGAGUCCCAAAGACUAUAAUAUCUGACCAAGGCACCCAAUUCGUCUCCAAAUUUUGGGAACACCUACAACAAGCUCUGGGCACACAACUGGCUUUCAGUACAGCAUACCACCCUCAGACAGAUGGAAAAACAGAGCGUGUAAACCAAAUCCUAGAGGAUAUGCUAAGAGCCUGUGUACUCACCUAUGGAUCCAGUUGGGAAGAGAGUUUGCCCUAUGGCGAAUUUGCGUACAACAACAGUUACCAAGCCAGCUUGCAAAUGGCACCCUUUGAAGCAUUGUACGGACGGAGGUGUCAUACCCCAUUGAAUUGGUCAGAAACCGGUGACAGCCGUAUCUUCGGCCCAGAUAUGCUUAAGGAGGCCGAGGAAAAAGUUAAACAAAUCAGGGACAGACUCAAGACAGCACAGAGCCGACAAAAGAGCUACUAUGAUCAGAAGCAUCGUGAGGUCAGCUUUGAACCUGGUGAUUCCGUAUACCUCCGAGUAUCACCUAUGAGGGGUCUGCAACGGUUCAAAAUAAAGGGGAAACUAGCCCCAAGAUUUAUUGGACCAUUUUGUGUGAAGGCACGAAGAGGCACGGUAGCCUACCAGCUAGACCUACCCAAGGAGCUGUCAGACGUCCAUGACGUAUUCCACGUCUCGCAGUUGAGGAAAUGUGUGAGCAACCCAGAAAAACAUGUACCUCAUGAGGACACUGAUAUACAACCAGAUCUCACCUACAGAGAAAGGCCAGUAAAGAUUUUAGAAGAGUCUGAACGGAGGACCCGUCAGAAAACGACAAAGUUUUUCAGGGUUCAGUGGAGCAACCACACUGAGGAUGAAGCUACAUGGGAAAGGGAGGAUUUCCUUCGAGUAGAGUAUCCAUAUCUAUUUGAGGAUCAGCAGAAAUCUCGAGGACGAGAUUUUUCCUAAGGGGGUAGGUGUUGUGGCACCCAAGUUUUUAUUUGGAUUUUUUUGAAAAGAUUUUAUUUGACUUGAGGGGAGUGAUUUAAAAUUUUUCUUCAAGAGAACUCUCCCUCUCAUAUAUUUUCUUUAUGGCAAAAAUUUUAUUUGGAUUCACCCAAGAUCUGCCUUUGACCUUGGGAGUUCUUGCUCUUCAUUUGGACUCAAGACAAAAUGUUUUUCAUUUGAGAAAAUAACCUUUGAAAUAUUUUUGAGAAUGCACUAUGGCUUUUGGAAAGUCCUUUGCCACUUUCAACUAUUCCUUCUUGCCAUGGCAUAAGUGCAAAUCCUCUCUCCUAACCUUUCCCUCACCUCUGGAUCAUGAUUUGCAUCAAAUCCAGCAAGUUGAACCCCCCCAUGUAUUUAUCUUCCAUUCAAAUUCUAUUCAAAUAUUUUCUGUCUUCUAUUCUACCACUUGGAGAUUUACAAAGGAACCCCAUUGUCUGUUUUGAUUUUUGGCCCCAAACUUCUUUCCCCUUCUAGUCCUUUGAACCCUCAACCUAGAACCAUGAAGAUCCACUGGUCUCCAGUUCAAAAAUUUCAAACUACAUCAACUGCAAGUUUGGACCAGAUUUGCCAAAUUUGGUGAAAUUCAUUCAAAACCUUCUCCAAAAAUUCCAAGUAAAUUCAUGCAGCCUCUGGGUGCAUUGAGUGACCAGCUCACCAAGUUACAGCUCCAGCAAAAUUCAUCUCUUUACCAAAACCUACUGUCGAACACCUGCAGUGCAUGGUCUUUGUCAAAUUCAGUAAGUUCAGAUAUUCAGUCAAGUGGCGGCUGUCGUUUUCUUCAGAAACGGGCAUCGAUCUCGCCAGUGCCAUCGCGUCGCCUUGCUCCUCGUCCUCGCCCACUUGUUCCUGCACCGCACGAGUGCCUGGCAUCUUGCGGGCGUCGGCGACGAGCAGCAGAAGGUGCGCCGCCCCGUGACCGACGCCGGCGGCGGCUUUGCGGGCGCCAGCGGGAGACACGGCGCCGCCGACUCCACCCAGCACCGCCCAAACCACCGGAGACCGCCGCGUGGCCGUCCACUCCCCCGAAUGCGCUGCCGCUCUCGUCGUGAACCGCAGGGCGCGGAGCGCGCUCUCUGCCGCCGUUGAGCCCGUGCGGUCACCUCACCAUGGGCAGACGCCAUUACGCCAGGGCCAGCUCCGUUUAGCUGCAAAACGAGUCCCGUAACAUCCACCGAUGCUGCCCGACCGCUCAAACCCUCUGCCAACCCACUGCUCCGCCGUAAUCGCUGGCCGGAGAUUCUCCGUUCACGGCCACCCCGUCGAUCUGCCUAUAAAUAGAGGUCCCGAGCUUCAACUCGAGCACCCACCAGCCCUGCACUUCCUCUAGAGCACGCCUAGCCACUGGAAGAGCCCCGAGGAGGUCUCCUUCCUCGACUCCGGCCGCCGCGACCCGCCACGGGAUCCAGCCCGAUUCACCCCGUGUGUGCUCCUCCGCCUCCAUUCUCUUGCCAGUAGCUUCACCUUGCAUCCCUCGUUCUGACCCGCACUUCAAUUUGAAGCUUGCAGCCCUCCACCGGAGUUCCCCAACCUCACCCGAACCGCCGUCCGCCGGAGAUAGUGUCGCCGUCGACGUGGUGCUCCCCGUUGGACGAGUCCACCACCCACCGACGCGGAAGAAGACACUGAAGCUCUUGGUACCCUCCGUUUCUCCUAACUCACCGUGGUUCGACGCCGGCGUCCAUCGCCGUCUUCGGGCGCCGGCGAGCUUUCAAACCUGCAUGCGGGCCCCGCAUGUCAGCCUCUGUUCUAUUUCCCCGAACCGUUUUCUGUUGACGCCUUCGGGCAAAAUACGUCUUCUCUCUUGCGCUUGCGCAUUUCCAAACGAACCGUUUUCUGUUUUCUCAGUUAAAACCCUGGAACUUUUCUGUUUCAUUACAGAAAGGUCCCUGGACAGAAACCUUUAUAACUUUUUAAUAAAAAGGUAUUUUUGAGUGAUUCUUUUUCUGACAUUCUUAAAAUUUUGUCUAGUUUUUUAUGGGAUUUAUUUGGAAAAUAUUUGGCAAAGUUUCUGUGUGUGUGUUGGUUUUCACGUUAGUACCCGUUUCGUGAUUGCCGUAGGUUCCGGGAGAGGUGACGGAGCCGCGAACUUCGCCGAGCUAGAUUCCGACUUCUCCGAACCAGGCAAGCAUGUUUGAACAUUUGAUAUGGCAGAAGUUUUGCAUGUUCAUGUGAAAGUUUGUGUGUGGCAUAUGAGUGUCGGUAAAUAUCUCGUUGCUCGUAAGGCAACGACCCGGUUGUUCCGAAGUUGCGAUGACCUCUGAUGAGAGGUGGCCUGAUCAUGUAGUGACAUGAAGGGCAGCAAGGUGGUACUGUUGUAGCAUGCCAGCCUUGCGUCAUCCGACUUUCUUCGACGUUAACGUGGUUGGAGCCACGUUAUCGAUCUUUUCCCGCAUGUUCCAAAGUUGCGAUGACCUCUGAUGAGAGGUGGCCUAAUCAUGUGGUGACAUGAAGGGCAGCAAGGUGGUACUGUUGUAGCAUGCCAGCCUUGUGUCAUCUGACUUUUCCGACGCUAACAUGGUUGGAGCCGUGUUAUCGUCCCUUCCCCUUUCCGUGCUACCACAUGUCUCAUUGCCAGGAUACGGUUUAGUAAGUUGGUAACCUCUUUCCGUGUACACACCAAACAGAGAGGCCGGGAUGAUGGUACCUUGGCCCAGGAUUAAAGCCAGUCAUUCGGUCAGGGGGCAUGGGUGUUUCCGGUUGGGACCGAGAGGGGGGGCACCCCCUUAUAGCGCGCGUAUAGAAAUUUGAUCCCAUGCUACGCGAGGUUGUAGCCUCCCCGACUCAAGGUUUUUCUUGAAUGUUGCCGAGGGUGAUCCCUGGCUUCGGAUGGUUGAAUUGGGUGUGUACUGGUUAGACGUGUUCCUUCCAGAACACCGUAGACGGAACUAGUCCCCGUGACUACUGGAAUCCGUUGGCUGUGGUUAAGUACAAACUCUGCAGAGUCAAUUCUUUCCAAAUCAUCAUAUCCAUGAUCAGUAGUGUAAACAUUAUAUCCAUAUCUAUCCAUGUGAAAAACUUGUCCCCGGUGAACAAGCUCAAGUGGUAAAAUCUCAGGUUUUAUUGCUAUUCCAGUGGAUGGACAAGCUUUAUUUUGUGUCUCAUGCUUGUGAUAAUUUAUGUCUCCGAGCUGUUGUAAUAAUGAAAUGUGAUAUAAGCCCUUUAGGUGACGUCGCGCAGACGUCCGACUGUGGCGUGUACUCGUUUCUCACUUUCGAUAUAAGCCCUUUAUGUGAUGUCGCUCAGACGUCCGACUGCGGCAUGCACUGUCUUUACUUUCUGUUAUAAGCCCUUUAUGUGGUGUCGCCCCGACGCCCGACUGUGGCAUUAUUAUUCCGCAUUUUCCGCUCGAGGAGUCUUUCAGACACUCGUUUGGCACCUGUAUUAUUAUUCCGUAUUUUCCGCUCGAGGAGUCUUUCAGACACUCGUUUGGCACCUGNNNNNNNNNNNNNNNNNNNNNNNNNNNNNNNNNNNNNNNNNNNNNNNNNNNNNNNNNNNNNNNNNNNNNNNNNNNNNNNNNNNNNNNNNNNNNNNNNNNNNNNNNNNNNNNNNNNNNNNNNNNNNNNNNNNNNNNNNNNNNNNNNNNNNNNNNNNNNNNNNNNNNNNNNNNNNNNNNNNNNNNNNNNNNNNNNNNNNNNNNNNNNNNNNNNNNNNNNNNNNNNNNNNNNNNNNNNNNNNNNNNNNNNNNNNNNNNNNNNNNNNNNNNNNNNNNNNNNNNNNNNNNNNNNNNGCACCUGUAUUAUUAUUCCGCAUUUUCCGCUCGAGGAGUCUUUCAAACACUCGUUUGGCACCUGUAUUAUUAUUCCGCAUUUUCCGCUCGAGGAGUCUUUCAGACACUCGUUUGGCACCCGUAUUACUAUUCGGCAGUUUCCGCUCGAGGCGUCAUUCAGACCCUCGCUUGGCACCCAGUAUUUAUUAUCUCUAUGUCUGAUCGCACUGGUUAACUUAUUCAUGUGUUUCAUGUUUGCAUUUGUUAUACCUUAUGUCCGAACUGUCUUGCGAGUACUUUCAUAGUACUCACCUGGCUUGUUGAUUUGGCCAGAUGUUGACGAAGGCGAUCUCUUGGAUGAAGAGUUUGAUAGCGCGUCCGACGCCUAGAGGAGUCCAAGUCAGUCCUGCGCGAUCCCGGAUAUUGGUCACUUGUAUCGUUUGCGCUUCCGCCACCCGCAAUAAGUCUUCUCGAGCCUCGCUCCGACGCUCGAAGAGUUGUAGUAGUCUGGAAUUAUAUCACUCGCUUCGCGAUGAUAUUUCCACCACCGUUAUUAUCGUGAGUUAGUAGUUUGCCACCCUAUCCGCCGUAUUGUUUUAUCGGCGUGCAUGUAAUAAAUUGUUGGGCAGUCUCUGCUCAACUUUGUAUUAUAUUUAGUACUCCUGGUAUUUUUUCGUCUGUGACCAAUGUAUUGUCUAUCAGUGAGAAGGAAUUCUUCCUCGCUGGUCCGUAACAGGGAUUGGUUUCUCAAUAAUUAUUUUAUUGAAAAACCGGUCGUGACAGUAGAACUUGAUGAGGUAAUUGUACCUUCUCCCAAAUUGGAAAGUAGUUCAUCACAGAAAUCAGUUCCAGGGAUGCCUUGCUACCUCUUGAGCACUGCGUUGGUUUUUCCCUUGAAGAGGAAAGGGUUAUGCAGUAAAGUAGCGUAAGUAUUUCCCUCAGUUUUUGAGAACCAAGGUAUCAAUCCAGUAGGAGGCUACGCUCGAGUCCCACGCACCUACACAAAACAAAUAAGUACCUCGCAACCAACGCGAUAAAGGGGUUGUCAAUCCCUUCACGGUCACUUACGAGAGUGAGAUCUGAUAGAUAUGAUAAGAUAAUAUUUUUGGUAUUUUUAUGAUAAAGAGAAAUAAAGAUGCAAAGUAAAAUAAAAGGCAAUAGAAAUAGCUAAGUGUUGGAAGAUUAAUAUGAUGGAGAAUAGACCCCGGGGCCAUAGGUUUCACUAGUGGCUUCUCUCAAGAGCAUAAGUAUUACGGUGGGUGAACAAAUUACUGUCGAGCAAUUGAUAGAAUUGAGCAUAUUUAUGAGAAUAUCUAGGUAUCAUCAUGUAUAUAGGCAUCACGUCCGUGACAAGUAGACCGACUCCUGCCUGCAUCUACUACUAUUACUCCACACAUCGACCGCUAUCCAGCAUGCAUCUAGAGUAUUAAGUUCAUAAGAACAGAGUAAUGCUUUAAGUAUGAUGACAUGAUGUAGAGGGAUAAACUCAUGCAAUAUGAUAUAAAACCCAUCUUGUUAUCCUUGAUGGCAACAAUACAAUACGUGCCUUGCUGCCCCUGCUGUCACUGGGAAAGGACACCGCAAGAUUGAACCCAAAGCUAAGCACUUCUCCCAUUGCAAGAAAGAUCAAUCUAGUAGGCCAAACCAAACUGAUAAUUCGAAGAGACUUGCAAAGAUAACCAAUCAUACAUAAAAGAAUUCAGAGAAGAUUCAAAUAUUGUUCAUAGAUAAUCUUCAUCAUAAACCCACAAUUCAUCGGUCCCGACAAGCACACCGCAAAAGAAGAUUACACCGAAUAGAUCUCCAAGAGAACCGAGGAGAAAUUUUUAUUGAGAUCCAAAGAGAGAGAAGAAGCCAUCUAGCUAAUAACUAUGGACCCCAAGGUCUGAGGUAAACUACUCACACAUCAUCGGAGAGGCUAUGGUGUUGAUGUAGAAGCCCUCCGUGAUCAAUGCCCCCUCCGGCAGGACGCCGGAAAAGGCCCCAAGAUGGGAUCUCACGGGUACAGAAGGUUGCGGCGGUGGAAUUAGGUUUUCAUGGAUGCCUCUGAUGGUUUGGGGGUACGUAGGUAUAUAUAGGAGGAAGAAGUACGUCGGUGGAGCAACGUUGGCCCCACGAGGGUGGAGGGCGCGCCUGGGGGGUAGGCGCGCCCCCUGCCUCAAGCUCUCCAUGUUGAUUGCUUGAUGUAGACUCCAAGUCCUCUGGAUCACGUUUGUUCCGAAAAUCACGUUCCCGAAGGUUUCAUUCCGUUUGGACUCCGUUUGAUAUUCUUUUUCUGUGAAACACUGAAAUAGGCAAAAAAAAUAGCAAUUUGGGCUGGGCCUCCGGUUAAUAGGUUAGUCCCAAAAAUAAUAUAAAAGUGUAUAAAUAAGCCCAUUAAACAUCCAAAAUAGAAUAAAACACUAAUGAAAACAUAAAAACAAAUCUAACCAGAGGCUAGAUCAAAGAUUUAUUCCUAAACAGAAGCAAAAAGCAAAAAACUAAAAAUAAAAUUGGGUUGCCUCCGAACAAGCGCUAUGGUUUAACGCCCCUAGCUAGGCAUAAAAACACGGAUAGAUAUAGGUAUUGCCAUCUUUGGUAGGCAAUCUAUAGGUGGCUCUCAUAAUAGAUUCAUAUGGCAAUUUAAUUUUCUUUCUAGGGAAGUGUUCCAUGCCUUUCCUUAACGGAAAUUGGAAUCUAAUAUUUCCUUCCUUCAUAUCAAUGAUCGCACCAAUCGUUCUAAGGAAAGGUCUGCCAAGAAUAAUAGGACAUGAAGGAUUGCAAUCUAUAUCAAGAACAAUAAAAUCUACAGGAACAUAAUUCCUAUUUGCAACAAUAAGAACAUCAUUAAUUCUUCCCAUAGGUUUCUUGAUAGUGGAAUCCGCAAGGUGUAAGUUUAAAGAGCAAUCAUCAAAUUCACGGAAACCUAACAAAUCACAUAAAGUUUUUGGAAUCGUGGAAACACUAGCACCCAAAUCACACAAAGCAAAGCAUUCAUGAUCUUUAAUUUUAAUUUUAAUAGUAGGUUCCCACUCAUCAUAAAGUUUUCUAGGGAUAGAAACAUCCAACUCAAGUUUUUCUUCAUAAGAUUGCAUUAAAGCAUCAACGAUAUGUUUAGUAAAGCUUUAUUUUGACUAUAAGCAGGCGGAGAAUUUAGCACGGAUUGCAACAAGGAAAUACAAUCUAUCAAAGAGCAAUUAUCAUAAUUAAAUUCCGUGAAAUCCAAAAUAGUGGGUUCAUUGCUAUCUAAAGUUUUAACCUCUUCAAUCCCACUUUUAUCAAUUUUUGCAUCGAGAUCUAAAAGCUCCGAAUUUUUGGAACGCCUUCUAGGUAAAGGUGGAUCAUCUCCAGUCCCAUCAUUAUCAAGAUUCAUAUUGCAAAACAAAGAUUUAAUAGGGGACUCAUCAAUAACUUUUAGAUCUUCAUCUUUAUUCUCAUAAAAUUAGAAGAACACGUUUUCAUAAAGCAAUCUUUUUUAGCACGCAUCCUAGCGGUUCUUUAUUUACACUCAUCAAUGGAAAUUCUCAUGGCUUUGAGAGACUCAUUGAUAUCAUGCUUAGGUGGAAUAGAUCUAAGUUCCAAAUAAUCAACAUCAAGAGAAAUUCUGUCCACGUUCCUAGUCAAUUCAUCAAUCUUAGGCAAUUUUUCUUCAAGCAAAGCAUUGAAAUUAUUUUGCGAAUUCAUAAAUUCUUUAACACUAGUUUCAAAAUCAGAGGGCAACUUAUUAAAAUUUCCAUAAGAAUUGUUGUCGGAAUUACCAUAAUUAUUAGAGGAAUUACUAGGAUACGGUCUAGGAUUAAAGUUUCCUCUAUAAGCGUUGCUACCAAAAUUAUUCCUACCAACAAAAUUCACAUCCAUAGAUUCAUUAUUAUUCUCAAUCAAGGUAGACAAGGGCAUAUCAUUAGGAUCAAAAGAAACACUCUUAUUAGCAAAUAAUUUCAUAAGUUCAUCCAUCUUUCCACUCAAAACAUUAAUUUCUUCUAUCGCAUGCACUUUUUUAUUAGUAGAUCUUUCAGUAUGCCAUUGAGAAUAAUUGACCAUAAUAUUAUCUAGGAGUUUGGUAGCUUCUCCUAAAGUGAUCUCCAUAAAAGUGCCUCCCGCGGCCAAAUCUAAAAGAUUUCUAGAAGCUAUUUAGAUUCAUAAUAUCGUUUCUAAGAGAGAUGAUCUUAGCGGGAGGAAAAUACUUAGAGAUAAAAGCAUCUUUGCACUUAUUCCAAGAAUCAAUAAUAUUUUUAGGCAAAGACAAAAACCAAGCUUUAGCACGAUCUCUAAGCGAAAAAGGAAAUAGCUUCAAUUUAACAAUAUCAUUGUCCACAUCUUUCUUCUUUUGCAUAUCACACAAAUCAACGAAGCUAUUUAGAUGGGUAGCGGCAUCUUCAUUAGGAAGGCCGGUGAAUUGAUCUUUCAUGACAAGAUUCAGCAAGGCAGCAUUAAUUUCACAAGAUUCAGUAUCGGUAAGAGGAGAAAUCGGAGUGCUAAGAAAAUCAUUGUUGUUGGUAUUGGUAAAGUCACACAGUUUAGUAUUAUCUUGAGCCAUCGUGACAAGCAAGCAAUCCAACACACGAGCAAACAAGAAGCGAGCGAGAAAGAGGCGAACGGAAAAGAGAGGGCGAAUAAAACGGCAAGGGUGAAGUGGGGGAGAGGAAAACGAGAGGCAAAUGGAAAAUAAUGUAAUGCGAGGGAUAAGGGUUUGUGAUGGGUACUUGGUAUGUUGACUUUUGCGUAGACUCCCCGGCAACGGCGCCAGAAAUCCUUCUUGCUACCUCUUGAGCACUGCGUUGGUUUUUCCCUUGAAGAGGAAAGGGUUAUGCAGUAAAGUAGCGUAAGUAUUUCCCUCAGUUUUUGAGAACCAAGGUAUCAAUCCAGUAGGAGGCUACGCUCGAGUCCCACGCACCUACACAAAACAAAUAAGAACCUCGCAACCAACGCGAUAAAGGGGUUGUCAAUCCCUUCACGGUCACUUACGAGAGUGAGAUCUGAUAGAUAUGAUAAGAUAAUAUUUUGGUAUUUUUAUGAUAAAGAGAAAUAAAGAUGCAAAGUAAAAUAAAAGGCAAUAGAAAUACCUAAGUAUUGGAAGAUUAAUAUGAUGGAGAGUAGACCCGGGGGCCAUAGGUUUCACUAGUGGCUUCUCUCAAGAGCAUAAGUAUUACGGUGGGUGAACAAAUUACUGUCGAGCAAUUGAUAGAAUUGAGCAUAUUUAUGAGAAUAUCUAGGUAUGAUCAUGUAUAUAGGCAUCACGUUCGUGACAAGUAGACCGACUCCUGCCAACAUCUACUACUAUUACUCCACACAUCGACCGCUAUCCAGCAUGCAUGUAGAGUAUUAAGUUCAUAAGAACAGAGUAAUGCUUUAAGUAUGAUGACAUGAUGUAGAGGGAUAAACUCAUGCAAUAUGAUAUAAACCCCAUCUUGUUAUCCUCGAUGGCAACAAUACAAUACACGCCUUGCUGCCCCUGCUGUCACUGGGAAAGGACACCGCAAGAUUGAACCCAAAGCUAAGCACUUCUCCCAUUGCAAGAAAGAUCAAUCUAGUAGGCCAAACCAAACUGAUAAUUCGAAGAGACUUGCAAAGAUAACCAAUCAUACAUAAAAGAAUUCAGAGAAGAUUCAAAUAUUGUUCAUAGAUAAUCUUGAUCGUAAACCCACAAUUCAUCGGUCCCGACCAACACACCACAAAAGAAGAUUACAUCGAAUAGAUCUCCAAGAGAAUUGAGGAGAACUUUGUAUUGAGAUCCAAAGAGAGAGAAGAAGCCAUCUAGCUAAUAACUAUGGACCCAAAGGUCUGAGGUAAACUACUCACACAUCAUCGGAGAGGCUAUGGUGUUGAUGUAGAAGCCCUCCGUGAUCAAUGCCCCCUCCGGCAGGACGCCGGAAAAGGCCCCAAGAUGGGAUCUCACGGGUACAGAAGGUUGCGGCGGUGGAAUUAGGUUUUCGUGGAUGCCUCUGAUGGUUUGGGGGUACUUAGGUAUAUAUAGGAGGAAGAAGUACGUCGGUGGAGCAACAUGGGCCCCACAAGGGUGGAGGGCGCGCCUGGGGGGGUGUAGGCGCGCCCCCUGCCUCGUGCUCUCCAUGUUGAUUGCUUGACGUAGACUCCAAGUCCUCUGGAUCACGUUUGUUCCGAAAAUCACCUUCCCGAAGGUUUCAUUCCGUUUGGACUCCAUUUGAUAUUCUUUUUCUGCGAAACACUGAAAUAGGCAAAAAACAGCAAUUUGGGUUGGGCCUCCGGUUAAUAGGUUAGUCCCAAAAAUAAUAUAAAAGUGUAUAAAUAAGCCCAUUAAACAUCCCAAAACAGAAUAUAUAAUAGCAUGGAACAAUCAAAAAUUAUAGAUACGUUGGAGACGUAUCAUGCCUACACCAAUUAGUGAGGAAGUUAAUGAUGAUGAUCAUGAAACUUCAGAUCAAGUUACUACUGAACCUCGUAGGUCAACCAGAGUACGUUCUGCACUAGAGUGGUACGGUAAUCCUGUUCUGGAAAUCAUGUUACUAGACCAUGACGAACCUACGAACUAUGAGGAAGCGAUGAUGAGCCCAGAUUCCGCGAAAUGGCUUAAGGCCAUAAAAUCUGAGAUAGGAUCCUUGUAUGAGAACAAAGCAUGGACUUUGGUUGACUUGCCCGAUGAUCGGCAAGCCAUAGAGAAUAAAUGGAUCUUCAAGAGGAAGAUGGACGGUGAUGGUAGUGUUACUAUCUACAAAGCUCGACUUGUCGCAAAAGGUUUUUGACAAGUUCAAGGUGUUGACUAUGAUGAGAUUUUCUCACUCAUAGCGAUGCUUAAGUCUGUCUGAAUCAUGUUAGCAAUUGCCACAUUUUAUGAAAUCUUGCAAAUGGAUGUCAAAACUGCAUUCCUUAAUGGAUUUCUUAAAAGAAGAAAUGUAUAUGAUGCAACCAGAAGGUUUUGUCGAUCCUAAAGGUGCUAGCAAAGUGUACAAAGCUCCAGCGAUCCAUCUAUGGACUGGUGCAAGCAUCUCGGAGUUGGAAUAUACGCUUUGAUGAGUUGAUCAAAGCAUAUAGUUUUAUACAGACUUGUGGUGAAGCCUGUAUUUACAAGAAAGUGAGUGGGAGCACUACAGCCUUUCUAAUAAGUAUAUGUGGAUGACAUAUUGUUGACCGGAAAUGAUGUAGAAUUUUCUGGAAAGCAUAAAGGAGUGUUUGAAAGGAGUUUUUCAAAGAAAGACCUCGGUGAAGCUGCUUACAUAUUGAGCAUCAAGAUCUAUAGAGAUAGAUCAAGACGCUUGACAAGUUUUUUCAAUGAGUACAUACCUUGACAAGUUUUUGAAGUAGUUCAAAAUGGAAUAGUCAAAGAAGGAGGUCUUGCCUGUGUUGCAAGGUGUGAAGUUGAGUAAGACUCAAAGCCCGACCACGGCAGAAGAUGGAGAGAGAAUGAAAGUCAUUCCCUCUGCCUCGGCCAUAGGUUCUAUAAAGUAUGCCAUGUUGUGUACCAGACCUAUUGUAUACCCUGCCCUGAGUUUGGCAAGGGAGUACAAUAGUGAUCUAGGAGUAGAUCACUGGACAGCGGUCAAAAUUAUCCUUAGAGAACUAAGGAGAUUUUUCUCGGUUAUGGAGGUGAUAAAGAGUUCGUCGUAAGAGUUACGUCGAUGCAAGCUUUGACACCGAUCUGGAUGACUCUGAGUCUCGAUCUGGAUACAUAUUGAAAGUGGGAGCAAUUAGCUAGAGUAUCUCCGUGCAGAGCAUUGUAGACACAGAAAUUUGCAAAAUACAUACGGAUCUAAAUGUAGCAGACCCAUUGACUAAACCUCUCUCACAAGCAAGACAUGAUCACACCUUAAUACUCUUUGGGUGUUAAUCACAUGGCGCUGUGAACUAGAUUACUGACUCUAGUAAACCCUUUGGGUGUUGAUCACAUAGCGAUGUGAACUAUGGGUGUUAAUCACAUGGUGAUGUGAACUAUUGGUGUUAAAUCACAUGGCGAUGUGAACUAGAUUAUUGACUCUAGUGCAAGUGCGAGACUGAAGGAAAUAUGCCCUAGAGGCAAUAAUAAAGUUGUUAUUUUAUUUCCUUAUAUCAUGAUAAAUGUUUAUUAUUCAUGCUAGAAUUGUAUUAACCGGAAACUUGAUACAUGUGUGAAUACAUAGACAAAACAAAGUUUCUCUAGCAUGCCUCUACUUGACUAGCUCGUUAAUCAAAGAUGGUUAAGUUUCCUAACCAUAGACAUGUGUUGUCAUUUGAUGAACGGGGUCACAUCAUUAGGAGAAUGAUGUGAUGGAAAAGACCCAUCCGUUAGCUUAGCAUGUUGAUCGUUCAGUUUUUAUUGCUAUUGCUUUCUUCAUGACUUAUACAUGUUUCUCUGACUAUGAGAUUAUGCAACUCCCGAAUACCGGAGGAACACCUUGUGUGCUAUCAAACGUCACAACGUAACUGGGUGACUAUAAAGAUGCUCUACAGGUGUCUCCGAAGGUGUUUGUUGAGUUGGCAUAGAUCGAGAUUAGGACUUGUCACUCCGUGUAUCGGAGAGGUAUCUCUGGGCCCUCUCGGUAAUGCACAUCACUAUAAGCCUUGCAAGCAUUGUGACUAAUGAGUUAGUUGCGGGAUGAUGCAUUACGGAACGAAUAAAGAGACUUGCCAGUAAUGAGAUUGAACUAGGUAUGAUGAUACCGACGAUCGAAUCUCGGGCAAGUAACAUACCGAUGAGAAAGGGAACAACGUAUGUUGUUAUGCGGUUUGACCGAUAAAGAUCUUCGUAGAAUAUGUAGGAGCCAAUAUGAGCAUCCAGGUUCCGCUAUUGGUUAUUGACCGGAGAUGUGUCUCGGUCAUGUCUACAUAGUUCUCGAACCUGUAGGGUCCGCACGCUUAACGUUCGAUGACGAUUUGUAUUAUGAGUUAUGUGUUUUUUGUGACUAAAGUUUUUUCGGAGUCCCAGAUGAGAUCACGGACAUAACGAGGAGUCUCGAAAUGGUCGAGAGGUAAAGAUUCAUAUAUAGGACGAUGGUAUUUGGACACCGGAAGUGUUCCGGGUGAUACCGGGUCACCGGAAGUGGUUCAGGGCAACCCCUGGCAAAGAUAUGGGCUUAAUGGGCCAAGUAAGGGAACACACCAGCCCACAAGGGGCUGGUGCGCCCCCUAUAGGGCCAGCCACUUGGGGAGAAAGGGAAAGGAGAGGAGGAAAAGGAAAGUAUGAAGUAGGACUCCUACAUCCUUCCCCUCCCCCCACCUUCCUUUCCCCCUUGUCCAAAUAUGGUAAGGGGGGCGAAUUGGACUAGGGGCCCAAGUAGGAUUUCUCCUACUUGGGCAUGCCCUAGGCUGCCUCCCUCCCUCUCCCCCAUUUAUAUACGUCGGGAGGCACCCCUAAAACACACAUCUAUUGUUCCUAGCCGUGUGCGGUGCCCCCUCCACAGUUUGCUCCUCCGGUCAUAUUGUCUUAGUGAUUAGGCGAAGCCCUGCGCGGAUCACAUCACCAACACCGCCACCACGCCAUCGUGCUGACGGAACUCUCCCUCGACCCUCUGCUGGAUCAAGAACUCGAGGGAUGCCAUCGAGCUGAACGUGUGCUGAACACGGAGGUGUCGUACGUUCGGUGCUUGAAUCGGUUGGAUCGUGAAGACGUUCGACUACAUCAACCGCGUUACUAAACGCUUCCGCUUUCGGUCUACAAGGGUACGUGGACACACUCUCCCCGCUCGUUGCUAUGCUUCUCCCAGAUAGAUCUUGCGUGAUCGUAGGAAAAUUUUGAAAUACUACGUUCCCCAACAUCUUCCCCAAUGUGAAGGUACUCAUUGGCAUGGUCAGCCGAAACGCCAUAUGCAAUCACCCGCAUAGGUGCCGAGAUUUUUUGAUAUGCACUAAAUCCCUUCAAGCCCGCGGCAUUUCUUGUUUGAGUAAAAUACCGACAAUCUGCCUCGCAAGCUUGAACAAUUUUCACAAAGAGAGAUCGGCGCAUUCGGUACCUUCUCCGGAAGAGGUGCGGUCGAUAUGUUGGAUUCUCCGUGAAGUAGUCUUGCAUCAACAUCUCGUUCCCGAGAUGGCAAUUUCGAGGAAUGCAAAGACGGCCGACGGUCGAUCCUCGCCGCCUCUUUCGGUUCUCGUCUUCGUUCUCCUUCACGGCAAGGCCAUCACAAACGUCCGUUGCCGAUAGUUUGCAAGCAGCGUCUCAACAACCGAGUCGUUUGAAUCGGAUGAAUCGUCGAGAAAAAACUUCUCGCACGGGCUCAAUUCCAUUUACAUGAACAAAAAUCACACGCCGCGUCAACCAAUUAUGCAUAGCGCUCAGCACAAAGCACAAGUAAACACUCACCGGCUGCUCGUGGGUGGUGGCUCUCCGGCGGUUCGUGGACGGGCGAUCCCGGGCGGCGACUAGGGGCGGCUCGAGGGCGGUCGAUCCCCGGCGGCGACGGCGACCCGGGGCGGCUCGUGUCGCCGGAUCCGUUGGGCGGUGCAGUGUAUCGGUGGUAGAGGGUGGGGGCGCCCCCGCGGCGCGAUUCGCCCGCAGAUUUGGCCGGAAUCGCCGGCGACGGACUGGCGGAACCAAUGGCGGGCGCCGGCGGAAGGAGGUGGGGAAAGGGCGCGGGCUGAAAUGUCCCUCCCGCCAACCGCUUUCCAGGGAUACGGGGCACCGUAGGGUGAUACGAAAACCUGCGUAUUCGCGGGUUGGGGCCGAGAUUUUGCCGCGCCCCUCAAAAAUAUUUACGGGUCGGACGCGUUUACGGGGUCUAGAUUUUGCCGAGAUUUUACCGCAGUGGUUGUUGGGGCACGUCACGGCGUUGCCCCCGGCCUGGGCGCCGCAGCGUUUGGGCUCGUAGCAGGCGCCGCUCUGGCAGCCGUCGCCGCAGUACCCCCACGCGCUGCAGCAGAGGUUGUUGGGGCACUCCAUGCCGUCGGCCGCGUGGCCGCACUGCUCGGCGUGCGCGCCCGCCACGGCGAUGGCGAGGACGACGGCCGCGCCGAGUGUGAGGGCCUUGGUGCUCAUCAUCUUCUUCCUUUCUGCUGGCUUGUGGAUCUAGUACUGGUUGUGUGUGUGUGUGUG
rnacentral:lncRNA from 1 species